AUCAAGUCUCAGUCAUCUUGAAGUAUGUCGACAACAAGUCACAUAAGCAUAUGCAAUAGAAACAGAGCAUCAAACUGACAGAGAAAACAUACUGAUACCCUUAUUCACACAGAAAACAUACUGAUAGAUAAGUCGAAAUCUUCUAUGGUAAAUAAGACUGUUACAAUGUGAAGCCAAUUUGUAUCCCGUUGCCAAUGGAACAGUAGGAAUUACUUCCCACCAAUCAAAAACAUAUCUGCAGCACCACAGCUCAAAGACAUGAAUCUCCGUGAAAUCGCCUAUUGAGGAGUUGAUCGUGUAACAACCAACCAACCUUGCCUCAAGCAAACACGAAGAACAAAGACCAUCCAUGCAUAUUUAAUUCACCCAUUAAAAGUUGAAGGAUAAGGAGAGAAGAUAAAUAAUCAUAGCCAUGUUACCUAGUCAGGGCAAGGAUGAAUUAUUAGCAUGUUUCUCAAAUCCCAAUCCCAAACUAAUCAUUUCUCUUCAUUUUGUUGUGCUCAGCGAAGGAACUACCAAAUCUUACUGAAAGUAUUUAAGUGAAGACAACAAAUAGAUGUGUACUGUUUUAUUUGAACUGAAAAGAAUUGAUUGCUUACAGAUCAUUGCAAUCCUUACAAAUAUAUAGUAAACCAAACAAACUGAAUUGCUAACUUAAAGCACCAAAUCAUGCAAAAUGCUACCAUCAUUACCUUCAAAUCUAUAGUUAAUUCCAUUUUUCUAUAAAAGACAAAAUCAUCGGUAUCCAAUAGUUGCCGACUUCACCACGGGUUCAACAUUUUUUUGGCAAGUUGGGAUUCGAUACUAAUGAGCAUAUUUCUUAAGUUGAAAUAGUGCUACCCAAUCUAGGUUACAGUGGGUUGAUGAAUUAAAGAGCAGUUGUUAUUUGACACUGCAAUUAGAUGGCUCAUAUUUGAUUUACGGAGCUAUGAUAUGGGAAUCGUGCUUGUAUCACAUAUAAAAAUAUUUACAUAGUAACAAGCAUUAUUAAAGAUGGUACACUAGUAAGUUUCCAAAUGCUAUCAACAAAUAUUAUAACCUCUUAAUUUAUACAAGGAUUGAGCUAAAUUGCAUACAAGCAAUCCCUAACUUUGGUAGUUUCUUUGUGUUAAAAAUGGAGACUUCUUGGUGUUUGCCGGAACUCCAACUUGGGUAUACCUUUUGUGAACAAGAAAAAAGGUAAAAACAUCUUUCAACGAUAUCAAAUCAUUUAUUCAUAUAAAGUAUUAGUGUUGUCAUUUAAUUUCACUACAUUGUAGAAAAUUCUGAUUUGAUACCAAUUCAUGCUUGGCACGACUGUUACAUGACACCUGGGAUGCUCAGCAACACUACAUCCACAAUCAUGACGACGAACACUGAUGCAGCCACGAAAACAUCAAAACACUAUUUGCUUUGGUAGUAGUAUUGACUGCAAACUUGGUUGACCAACAGAAUCCCUGCCUUCAGCCAACCCCAAAUUUGACUAUCAUCGUAUAAUAUUGAUCGUCACAUUAUAUUUUCCAACUUUUAAUAGGAUUUUAAGGACAAGUUACAGUUGAAAGCUAAUAUAACAACAUUCUUAAAUUCACAUCCUACCGACCAUUAUGGCUAUUAGCUUCCAACCAUUCUCCAUGUUUCACUUUUCUUCAAGUAUUUUCACCAAAAUAAAGCUUCAACCUUUCAAGUUUUGCUUAUAAAGUCAAGAUCCAUGGGAUUAUUUAAGAUUUUAUGGGAAGCAUUUCAAAUAUUUUACGUUUUUUUUUUUUUAAAUAUUGUUAUAGACAUAGAAUCAACAAGAUUGUGUGACAUUCUAUAUUGAUUUUGUGAUAUUUUAAUCACUAAAAGUAUGGGUUUCAGAAAGAUAAAAACCAAACAAAAAAUUGAAAAAAAUAAAAAUUUUCAAACCAACAGAAUCCAACAUAUUGAUCAGUUUUGGUCUGAUUUGAUUCGGAUAUUUUUUAGCUGAAACAAUUAAUAACCAUUUUCAAAAGGUAAGUAUUGACAAGCCUUUCACGAAACCAUGUUCAUUUAUGCUGAAUCAAUCCAAAUCAGGUUUAGGUUGCUAACUCAAACUAACACAAUCCAAAAUUGAAUGCACACAGACUCUGGGUUGUUUCAGUUUAAUGAUUUUUACAGUUUAAUGAUUUUUAGAAAUGUCUAACUGAAACCGAACCGAAAUAUAUGAAUAUUUCUAACUGAGACGCCCCCAAAUACUGAAAAAAUGAUUGGUUUUGUUUUGUUUAGUUUGGUUAUAGCAGAUACCCCUAACAAUCUGCUUUUUCACUCGACAUCAAACAACAAGCACUAAUAUUAUGUCUGUAAGUAAAUUACUAUAAAGUAUAAAAAUAUAUGUGGAUAAUUGAAAAUUUGCUUAGAGUUGCUAAUAAUUCACAACUGCAACAACCAACACGACCAGGUAAUGCUUGGGAAUGGGAUCAUGUAAUGCCCGGGAAUGAGCCUUGGUGCACAAUCAUGAUUGUAACCAUGAUUUAAAAUCAUUUCCACACUAGACUAUCCAAGACAAUUGGUAUUGGAUUGUUAGCAACAAUUCAGUUUAUAAUAAUAAUAAUAAUGUUGAUUCUUUUAUCUCCUACUUAAUGCAAGUGUCCAUCGUGUGCUGAAAUUGAUUGUUUACCUCAAAUUUCUUUUAAAGGUAGAGAUUUCUUGGUUGACAAUGGGAAAAAGUAAUCGCAUGGUUAUUUUCCAUAAGAUUCAUUUGAGUAAAUAUUCUCUAUUGGAGGUCAAUUUCAUCGAAGCAAUUACUUCAAUGAACACGUCCUAACUAGCAACCUCUAAGUAGUCAUCUCCCUCAUCCUAACUUUUUAUUUCCUAAUAAAAUCUCACGGAUUUCCAUCAUGUUCAAAGGAAAAGUUGACGUUGCAAAUGGUGCUCUAAGGAACCAAGUCAUCCUAGAACUAAUCAUCCACCUAAUCUCAUCAACUCCUUGUUGCACAAACAGCUUGUCUCACUUAAAGGGGAUUUUAAUGAUGAACAAACACCAACUCCUUGUUGAUCAAAUACAUAUGCUCAUUUAAACACGAUUUUGCAUUACCUAGAACUGACAAGGCCUAAAAUUCCUGACAUAGAAUUUUGUUUUAAAGGAACUUCAGGAUUUCUAUAUAGGAUGCUUGACCUCAUUAAAGAUAAACUGAGGACAUCCAUAACAUAAAUUAUCUUCCUUGCCCCAAAGUCAGCACAGAAAAACCCUGUUCACUAUAAAGGUUCUGAAUGUUUUUCCUAAAUUUCAUGAUAUGGCAUUAACACAUCAAACACCCAAUUUAGCAUUCUUAUGCAAACUACAACUGCAGAAGGCUUGCACAUGUAGGGGAGGUAGGAAGAGCUGCAAAGUUGUCGCAUCUAUUGUUAUGCUGUUCAGAGUUUCAAUCUCACCAUCCAAUCUGCCAAAAAUAUAAAAGAUCAUGUGCAUGAAUUUGAUCUCAAAGGGGUAACACCUCAUAUGCCCACGGGAGAUACAUGACCAGUGAUGGUUGUUCUAUCCACAAAAUUAGCUAACAUAUGACUUUUUUAUUCAACUACCAUUUCAUGAUAUGAGUUCUCCUAGCCACACUCAAAAGCCCUAGCCGCCAUAUGAACAAAGCACCUAAAAAAUUAACCACCUACCUAAUCUAAUUCAGGAAAAUUUGGUCAAAAUCUCCUACAAUGAAACGAGUUAUUUGAAUGCAUAGUCAGGAAAUUCAGGUAAACACACACACACCUGAUCAUAAAUUUCCUAAAGAAAUUCUGAAUUGUAACAUUGGUAAACAAAGAGUGACAAUAUCAUCACAUUAAAAAUGCAUUUCACUCAAAACAAAUAAUAGCUCAAGAAAAACAAUUGCAAGAAGCCAAUAAAGAAUAAAGUAAGCAGGCCAUAAAAAAGAGACAGAGAGACAUUGUUCCAAUAGAGAAAAGUAAUUAAAACCCAACAACUAAAACUGAGAAAGAAUCAAACCAGGGAGUAACUAAUCCUUUUAAAGCAUUCCAAGAAUGGCAACCAAAUGUAACAUAAUCAACCUGCAAAAACAAACACAAAAAGAAUUAGAAGAAGAAAUCCCAUUAGUUAAUAAGUUAAAACAGCAGCAGCAGCAAAAAGACUAAAAUUUUAGUUAUUUGGACUUGAGAAAAAGCACUGAACCCUCUGUGAAAAUGCCAUGAAAGGGGUGCUAAGAAACCAGGAAAAUAAAAACUUGUAAAAGGGUGUUUUUACAAAGCAAGAAAGAAGCUAGGAAGCAAGGAAGCAUGCCAGCCUACCCUCACGAACUCUGUUUGUUAGGCCAUGUUUGUUUCCCGGAAUUCACUUUCCGGGAAACUAUUUUCCAAACUUUCCUGUUGUCGCACCCGACAUCGCGGCGGCCCUAAAAGUAGUUCUCGAUAUAUGGAAAAAGAACAGAUUUCUGGCAUCUGGUUCUUUUAAGGGAAAAGGUCUUGUUUGAGGAGUCGCCACCUAGUAUUAUGGUCACUAGGAACCCUAACUGGUCAACAGAGAUUCUAUGGCUCGGGAUUGGUUACGUAAAAGGGAAGAUAUUAUCACCCCUUAAACGUUCUGCCUAAGGCAGACUGCAUUGCUGGUUUUGUCUUAAAUUGCUAAACAUUUAUUCGCUGAUGCUAUGAUGAUUUGUUUAUAAUAUUCCUGACUCUGGCGCCAGUGAAUAUUCGAGCUCGAAUAAUUCCAACUCUGGCGUUGGUAAAAAUUCGUAGCUACGAAAAAAAAUUAGAUCAAUAUUUUUUAUUUCUUACUCUAGCGCCUAGUGAAUAAAUAAAUAAAAAUAAAUUUAUUUUUACGCAUGCACAUAUUUUUUUAUUUUUCUAGCUAAAUAAAAUAAAAUACAACGAAUAAAAAUAAUAUAAAUUUAAACCAGUAUUUUUAUUCCUGACUCUAGCGUCAGUGAAUAAACCAAUAAAUUUACAUUAUUUUUAUUCAUGCAUACACAUUUUUUAUUUUUUCUACUUUUUUUUUAUUUUUCUGUUUUUUCUAAUUUUUUAUUUUUUUUGGGCUGGGCCCAUCUCAGCCCACAUAGGCUGGGCUAGACCCAGCCAGCCCAGCCCGGUCACUGGCCUAAGCCAGUGACCCGGCUGGGCCACAUGAGGCACGCGUGAUCCAAAUCACGCAUGCCAGGCCUUUAGUUUUAAAUCAAGACAGGCGGCGAAGAUGAAUUAAUGAAACGCGGGGAAAAAAAAACAGAGCAGAAGACUUACCUGGUUCGUUUGCAGGGAGUUUACGCGAGAUUGCUGAGGGCGACGUUUCUGCUUCGAAUUUCCUCUUAAUUCCUUCUGCUUGUGUUCCCUGUUGUAUUCCUUUCAUGUGUCUCUAUUUCAGCUUGUUUUUCUUCGUCUUUAUGCUCUGUUUUCAGAACACCAUCUCUCUCUCUCUCGGCUGGUUUUCUCUCUCGUUUUUCUUAAGUCAGAACUGGUGAGGGAAGCCUAUUUCUAGUAUGGGAGUUCUGGAGAUGAACCUAAAAAUUAUGUGCUUUGCUUGUGUUUCUCUUCUUUUCGGUUUCUUUCGUCUCUCUCUCCCUCUCUAACCGACCUUUCUCUUCGGUGCUGCUCAGUUUAUAUAGGGCUCGGCGGGUUGAUAACAGGCGGUAGGCUAACGGUCGGCCACCAUUAAGGCGCCCAUAACUGAAGCCAACGGACGACGAUUACUGCUGCAACGUUCCUCCCUCCAUUACUGCAGAAACGGUCACUGGCUUAAAGGAGAAGAAGAUGAACAGCAUCCUCAAAACGACGCCGUUUGGAGAUAAACAGUGGCCAUUUUCACUUUGACCCAUGAAGUUUCGAAAAUUUUAUAAUUAAACCCCUGUUUUAAACAGUAAUUUUCCCUGCAUUUCGGCGCCUUUUACAAGUUAGUCCUUGGACUUUAAUCUGCUGCAAUCGUAUCCCCAAUUAACCCCAAACUUUGCUAUUUCUUCAAUUAAGUCCCUGAUUUCAUUAAUUUAAUUAAAUCCAAAGUCCAAUUAAGUCUAAAACUUAUCAAUUCUCCAAUUAAGCCCCUGAUUGGAUUGAUUAAAUUAAUUCCAAGCUUAAUUAAGUCUCAAAACUUAUCAAUUCUCCAAUUAAACCCUUGAUUGGAUGAAUUAAAUUAAUUUCAAGCUUAAUUAAGUCUAAAAAUUUAUCAAUUCUCCAAUUAAACCCUUGAUUAAAUUAAUUCCAAGCUCAAUUAAGUCUCAAAACUUAUCAAUUCUCCAAUUAAACCCUUAAUUGGAUUAAUUAAAUUAAUUCCAAGCUUAAUUAGAUUAAUUUCAAAGUUUAAUUAAACCCCAAAACUUCUAAUCAUGUUGCCCUUAACCCAAAUUUUAAUUCAUUCUUCAUUUAUCUCAUUUUACUUGUUUUUUUAUCAUUAUUAUUUUUUUAUCAUCAUCAUCAUUUUUUUUAUCCUUUUCAGUAAAUAAAAUAAUAAUAAUAAUUAAAAUAAAAUGGUCAAAAAUUGGGUAAUGACAGUUGCCCCCUCUUUAUAAUAUUUACUAUGCAAAGAUAUUGGAAAAUUUUAUUUUCUUUUAGCUUUGUGUAGUAAAUUUAUAAAGAAAAGUAGAUACAGAAAGAACAUUUUUUUUUUUUUAGUCUUGAAAACUUUGAAAACAGUAGAUUGACACACGACCUUUACAGAGAGAUGUAGAAAUCAAGAAACAAGUCAUUUGGAAGACGACCCACUUUUUUUUUUGUUUUUUUGUUUUGUUUUGUUUUGUUUUGUUUUUUUUUUUAGAAGUGGUCUCAUUGUGAUGGGUGACCUACCCAAGUAAAAAAAGAAAUGAAAAUGAGGGCUCGAAGGCGCGCUCGAAAGAAUGUGAGGGCUCAAAGGCGCUCGAAGAAGAAAGGGAGGGCUCAAAGGCGCUCGAGGAAGAAAGCGAGGGCUCAAAGGCGCUCAAGGAAGAAAGCGAGGGCUCAAAGGCGCGCUCAAAGGGAAGCGAGGGCUCAAAGGCGCGCUCGAAGGGAGAAAGCGAGGGCUCAAAGGCACGCUCGAAGGGAAGCGAGGGCUCAAAGGCGCGCUCGAAGAGAAAAGGAAGUGCUCAAAGGCACUCGAAGAGGAAAGAAAGUGCUCAAAGGCACUCGAAGAGAAAAGCGAGGGCUCAAAGGCGCGCUCGAAAAGAAAAGCAAGUGCUCAAAGGCACUGGAAGAGGAAAGCGAGGGCUCAAAGGCGCGCUCGAAGCGAAAAGCAAGUGCUCAAAGGCACUCGAAGAGGAAAGCAAGUGCUCAAAGGCACUCGAAGAGGAAAGCGAGGGCUCAAAGGCGCGCUCGAAGAGAAGCGAGGGCUCAAAGGCAUGCUCGAAGAGAAAAGCAAGUGCUCAAAGGCACUCGAAGAGAAGCGAGGGCUCAAAGGCGCUCUUGAAGAGAAAAGCGAGUGCUCAAAGGCACUCCAAGAGGAAAGCGAGGGCUUAAAGGCGCUCGAAGAGGAAACCGAGGGCUUGAAAGCGCCCUAAAAAUGAUGAUCAAAGGCUCGAGGGUGCAUUUGAAGGGAGGUAAGGCUCGAAGGUGUUCUCGAAAAGGGAGGUAGGGUUAAGAAACGCAAUACCUUGGAUGGUCAAGGGCUCAAAAGCGCACUUGAAAGGAGACAAGGACUUGAAAGUGCCCUAAAAAUGAUGAUCAAAGGCUCGAAGGCGCAUUUAAGGAGGUGGAAAAACAUAGAGAUUUUUCAGAGGGCCUAAUUCUUGUGGGCGGCCUGCCCAGGUUGAAAAAUUUUCAAAAGUGAAAAUUUUUCAAAAGCAAUUUCAAUCCUGGCCAUUUCAAGUUGGCCUUCCACUUGAUGGAUUCCGUUGGAAUUUUCUCUAAUGAGAUUUGCAAAACUUAUUGUCCAAUUUCUCAAAGUUUAGAUGAUAUGCAUGCAUCUUUACCUGAUUUGAAAUAUAGGCCCCCCAUUUCUUCUUUGUCUUCUUGUUGCUUGACUGAUGAGGACUUGCUACCUCUGAUUUGCGUCAUAUUUGUCACUUGGCUUCUAGCCCACUCGAGUUGGCCCAUGGAAGUCUAUUUCCAAAUUUGUUUGCACAACUUAGCCUUUAUGGUGCCCAUCGUGACCCACUUGCUUGCUAGAGAUUUUCUAUCUUGUCAAAUAAUUUGAGAGGAUCAUUCAUUACUCCUCGUCUCGCUACUAAAAAUAUUCGGUGUCACUUGCUGAAAGGAUCAAACUGUCUUUCAUAAACCAAAAUGCCCCCUUGUCUUGUUGUAGGAAAUAUUCCUCUCUUUUUCUAGAAGAGAAAAUACAAUGUUGCCCCUUGUACUGCUCAUUGCCUCCAAGUGUGCUUUGCCAGCGACUGGGACAAAUAAUGGUUUUAAAAGACCAUUCUCUCAUUUCUCUUUUUGUUCAUUUUGGUGAAGGAAUAUGGGUCCAUAAUAAAUCUUGAAAUCUUGAUCUUGCAUUUUGAAAACAAAAAUUGUUUCGAUGUGAGUCUAAAAUAAUUUGCUUUUGAAAUCUUGCAACUCCUUGGUUGUUUUCUUUUUUGGAAAAGAGAUUAUUUGAUCUUGUGUUUGGCAAAGAGGUCUUUUGGUGAAAAUAUGUCAUGAGAUGACCUUUUUGUUUUCAAAGUGAAGGGCUCGAGAAAAAGCUCGAGGUUUUGUUUGAGAAAAACAACUUAUCUCUUUUUAAACAUUCAUUUUUAUCAGCAUGAAUAAUAAUGAGUAGUUUAUUCUUGAUGUCAUGAAUCUUAUGAAAAAGUAUUCUUUGCAUUUUGAGAGCAUUGUUUAUUGUUCUAGGUUGCUUGCUUUCUUGAUUAGAAAGGACUUUUACCGGCACGUAACGUAAGUUGUGGUUUUUUGCUAUGAAAGAAAAUGAUUCGUAAUGCUCAAAGAGUGUUUCAAGGUUUCAAAGACUGAGGAUCACUAUCAACAGUUUGACUCUUGACGUCAUUCACAUUUUCUUUUGCCGCUCUUCUUUAAUUUGCCCUUUGUCAUUGUUUUGGCUAUCACUUUUUCUUGUGAUUUGGGCAUGCCCCCUAGCAUUUGAGUUUCUUGGGCUCUUUAUGCCUUUUUGGCUUUCUUGCAGCUUUUUCUCUUUUCUCAUUGAAAUUUUCUCUUGCCCCCUAGUGUGGGGUGUGAUUCUAGUCGGGAUUUUUUUCAUGAAAGAAAUAUUAUUCAGGCUAAAAAAAGGAUCGCAAGGGAUGUAUUUAUUUCAGAAUGUGAAAGGAAUAACAAAGAUGACCCUUCAUCAUUUCAAGCGCAAGCAGUUAAGAUCAAUAAACCUUGACCUCAUCCAGUGUGUUGGUUUGGUCAUGAGCAACGAGUUCACUACAUACCAUUAUUCAUACAUUUAAAAACACAUGAUUCAAGAGUCAUGGGGUAAGGGUGUUUAUUUCUUUCUUUUUUUUCUUUUUCACAAUAUUUUUUGGUUUAUAAGUUAAUCACCUCAAUGAUGGAGUUGCUUGAUUCACUUGUCAUUCUACAAUUAGAAUGUGAAAAAUAUCAUUUUUGAAUGAACAUCAAAUUAUUUUUGAAAUCAAAAUACCAGAUCAAUUUUUUUUCAAAACUCCAAUAGGGAAAUGGAUUUUGGUACAAGAGAUGAAUUGCAUCUACGAGAUCACGCAAGGCUUCAAAGGUGUAUUCGUGAGUUCUUAUAACAAAACUCUCUUAAUAAUGAUUGGUCGUAAACAUGAUUGAAUGAGAAACUCAUUAUUUCAUUGAAGCUUUGGAAAAGAAACAACAAAGAACUUAUGCCAACAUGAAUAUUAGCAUGAUAACACAUAAAAGGGGCUAAACAUUUAGUAAUCAUUGAUUGGAAUUUCUGGAAUUUUUCAAUCAUUCAUUCUCCUUGACAAAGGCAUCUUUUCAACACUUAGUUGCAGUCACAUGCAGACCAUUCUCGACCUACUAUCACCAUAACCCUAUUGGAAAAUUUGGGCGGAAAACACUUUCCGGAAGUUAUGAAAAAUUUAGAAAUGUUAUUAUUUGUUGAUAUAUCAAAUUUAAUCCUCAAACUUUUGAUUGCUAUAUAUAAUUUGUUUUGAAUAUUUAUUUUUCAAUUCCAUUUCUUAAAAUUUAAUUUUUAUAUUAAUUUUGCUCCUUAUUUUUAUAAUAUUUAUUUGCUUUUUCCUUAUCAUUUUUUUAUUGAAAUUUUUUAUCUGUCAAAUUUGGUCCUCAUUCUUUUGAUUGUUACUUAUUUUAUUUGAAAUAAUUUAUGAAAUGUUAAUUAUUAUUAUUUUAAUUUCUUCACCUUUCAUUUUUUUAAAAUUUUUAGAUUUGAUUUCUAUUAUUUUGAUUAUUAUUUAUUUUAUUUGAGAUAAUUUAUGAAAUUGUAUUUUUUUUCAAUUUCAUUCUCAUUCAACUUUUUAAUUUGUAAGAUUUGUUCCUCAUUAUUUUAAUAAACUUGAGAAAAUAAAACAUUAAUAAGUUAUUUUCCAGCUCAUUUUCCAUGACAUAACCAAACACUGGAAAAUGUUUUCCAACUUAUUUUCCAUUACACUACCAAACAUCAGAAAAUACUUUCCCGGAAUUCAUUUUCCCCGAAAUUCACUUUCCAAAAAGAAACUACUUUCCAGCAAACAAACGGGGCCUUAAUUUUUUUUUCUCCUUUCAAGUGAAAAAAAAAAAAACAAAGAGCACCAAGAAAAUCUAAUCAGAAAUAUUUUUUUUUUAGUCUGAAAUAUUUUAUGUUGUUGUCUUGGAGAGAUGCAGAUACCGAGGAACAGUUGUGGGGCCACCAUUGGUGAGCAGUGAUACAGUGGCAAGUACGUGAAGUAACGCAUAUUACAGUGCGCAAUGAUAGAGUGAGUCUGGGUGGACAAACUUUUGGUGGUACACGUGGUGCGUAAUGAUUUGACGGCUAUGGAGAGAAGUUACAUGAGGGAAAUAAGAUGAAAAAAGUGGCCUCUCUAGAUUUUGGAAAUGUUCUCUGAAGAAAGAAAGAAAAUAAUCUCAAGGGUGGACAAAAAUGGGGUAAUAUCAGAUUUGGAACAUAAUCUUGGUGAAGAAUAACAUAAUCUAAGGAGAAAUCUAGGGCAAGCCCAGUGAGAUUUGAGCUUAGAUUUUGGACCAAUUUAUAGCUGGAUAAUACCAUCAUGGAUGAUGUCCAGCUGAUAAAUGUUUAGUUACUUGCAAUUCUAUCAUAAAGUUAUCAGAUUCUGUGUGUGUGAGGCUGCCAUAAAUUUCUUUCUUCUAUGAUGGAUAAAAAACGCUAAGCAAUGAACCAUUUUGUCAACCUAGUAAAAAAGGUAUUAUGGUUAUGAUGAGAACUCUACAGCCUGUGAUUCUAUUUUUGAAGGUAUUCUUAUUAUAUUUAUAAUUAUAAGAAUAUUUUAAAAAAACAUGGGUAAAAUAUUAUUCUCACAUCACUAUUUACUGGUCUUAUAGACUUAAAUUCAUAGAUAAUUAAGUAAAUUUGUUGAGGAAAAGCAAAAUUUAACUAUAGAUAAUCAAAGUGAAAAAAAAAACCUCAAAAAAAGAUGGUAGUUUCAAGAUUAAAGCCAAAAAUUCACUUUGAUUCUCAUACUUUUCAGAUAAUGACUUUUUGGUCCCUUAAGUUUUCUCACAUUUUAUUUUUGAUCCACAACUUCAUUUUUCUAUAUUCUCAUUCCCUAAUUUGAUAGAGGAGACAAAAAGUUAUUGGAUUACAAUGUUAGAGAGAGUCUCUGUAACAGCCUCAACAUUUGUAUUCAAAACAAAGAGCAAGGACAUGAUGAUUCAAAUAAGAUUAUGGAAUUUUUUUUUGUAAUCAAUAAAAAAUUCAGCAGAGUUUUUUUUAUAUUUUUAGAUACUAAGUUAUCGACUUUUCAUCUACAAUCCUCAAUUAUCAAAUUUCUUACUCAUCCUAUCAUCCAGAACUUCCUCCUCUCAUUACAUCACAACUUCUCAAUAAUCAAAUUCACAUGUCUAAAUAAUUCAAUAUCCCACAUUUACAUGGAUGCAAUCCAAAGAAUUAUUAUACAAAUUAUAACUGAAGUACAUUACACAAUUCUAAGAUUUACAAAUAAGGACCAUUAACGAAAUUAUAAUAGAAAUAAGUAUAUAAUUAAAGAAGAAAUUCAUAAUUAAGAUUAUACUACACAAAAGAGCUUUCGAUAAACUGUUGACGCAUUAUAUUACAUAACAAAAUGAUAAAUUCAUUCAUUACAAAAAGAUACCCAACAAAAUAUAAGAAAACUAAUCUACUGUUCAACCCGAUAAGGGGAUGUACCUGAAAAUUGAUUUAAUACAAUAAUUCAAUUAGACAGAUGAAAAAAGAUAUCCUGCUUUCUUUCUUUCUUCCUUUUUUUUUAAAAAAAAAAUUAGUCAAAAGAUCAUUAAAUUAACUUGCUCAUGUAGUAUUUAUAUAUAUAUAUAUAUAUAUAUAUAUAUAUAUAUAUAUAUAUAUAUAUAUAUAUCAAUUAAAUUUCAGAAUAAUCUAUGAGUUUGAGUUUGUUUUCUUUUUCUUUUUUCUUUUUUAAUAUCAACAAAAAAUAUAAUUAUUCCUAUCACUCAAUUAACCCGACAUUACUUUCACUAAUAGAUGAUUAAUUUUCCACCAGUCUAUUCAACAAACACUAUUGUCAUCAAUCCAAAAAUUAGUUUAACGUUUCAUCCAUUCAUCAGGUACAAAUCUCAUUAACCAAGAAAAUUAAUUCUUCAUCUCGCCUAUUUGUCAGGGCACUAAUUCCAUUAAAUCAGGAAUUAGUUCAACGAUUUACCCAUUCACUAGGGUACUAAUCCCAUUAACCAAAGACUUAAUUCCUCAUCAUGCCCAUUCACCGGGACAUUAAUCCCAUUAAUUUAGGAAUUAGUUCAACGAUUUGCCUAUUCACCAGGGUUCUAAUCCCAUUAACUAGAGAAUUAAUUCCUUAUCACGCCCAUUCACCAAGGCAUUAAUCCCAUUAGUUCAAGAAUUAAUUCAUCACAUCGCAUAUCUUAUUUUCUAAUAUAAUAAUUUCAUAUUUAUCAACCAUAAUUAAUGAAAUAAAAAUACAUAUUGACCAAUAAUAAAUUCAGGUACCGUGUAAUUACCUGAUGACUAAGCUCGAGCUGAAAUUUCCUGCUGUGGUGUCGGCCUGGCAGCCUCUCUUGAAUUGACAAGUAUAUCACAUCAUUAUUCUACUUUUCAUAUUAAAAUACUCAAUAAAUAAAAUCAUUCCAAUUAUCCUUUUAUUUGCCAAAAUAAAAUCAUUUUGUAAAUUUCCUUCCUAUUCUUUCAAUUUCCACAUUGUAACACAAUUCAUUUCAUCAUUCAAAUCAAUAUAUAUAUUCUUUAAAUUUAUUUAUUUAAUUUUUACAGUAAUUUAAAUCAAAGAAAAACAUAAAAAAAUUUCAUGAUCUAUUCACUCUUUAACAUUAAUAUCAUCUCUUUCUUACACAAUCUCAUCAUCUUAUCAAAACUCUUAAAUUUUUAUUUUUCUUAUUAUUAGUUUUCCAAAAAUCACUUCUUCAAGAACACCUAAAAUUUUGCUUUAAUUACCAUAAUUUCUUACUUUCCCUACUCACUUCAAUAAUCUUAACACAAUUUCACAAUCAAUUGUAAUUUUCUCUAAAAUUUAUCAUGAACCCUAAUUCCUCAUUUCACAAAGUUCAAUCAAUUUAAAGCAUAAAUUCUUCGAGAAUCUUAUUUAAAAGUGUGAGGACAUCUUACCAAGCAAUAACCAAAGCUUUAACACUUUUAAAUUGAGAAAUUUUCCUUGCUUGAAUUUGUUUUUCCUCUCCUGGCCGAAUGCUUCUUUCUCUUUGAAAAAGCAAGUUUUUUUUUUUUUGUUUCCUUAUAUCACACACUUACUUGCACUCAUAUAUAUAUAUAUAACUCUUUUUUUAAAUACCUUCCACAUCCCUCAAUUUUUUCUUUCCCCCUACACACAUAUAAUUACUUAACUUUUUAAAAAUACCUUCUAUAUUCCUUAAUAGUAAAUUUUAUGAUUUUUGGGUAAAAUUUCUUGAAUCCUAAUGCCUGUUUAUACCAAAUUUUAUCCAGGUUAUUUCAAAUUUCACUCAGUUACUCGUUAGUAUUUUCAGUUUCAUGAAAUUCAUUUCCAUAAAAAUUUUAUUCACAUUUUCAUGUUUAUUUAUUUAUAUUUAUUUUUUAUAUAUAUUUUAACACCCGAACAAAACAUUUCAAUUCAGAUUCUCGAAUAUAUCAUCAUUCUUAUAAUUUAAUUUAUCACUUUUCCUCAUUUUUUUUAAUCUUAACUUUUAUUAAUAUCAAUAAUAUUACCCGGGGUUUUACAGUCUCAGUUGGCACUGAUUUUUGCCAUAAAAAAUGGUUGAUUUUAAUGAUUUUUUUUAAUAUCUAUAUGUUUUUUAUAUAUUUUAUAUGAAUAAACUUUAUUUUCAUGACGUGUUUAUAAAAAUAAGAAUUAUUUGUUCUUGGUAAGAAAAAGUGACCUUUAAGAUUAAAAAGAAGAAAAGGAGAAAAGUGACCUUUAAGAUUAAAAGUAUCUGCUCGAAAAAACCAUUCAACAUAAGAUUGCUCUGCUAGGAAAACAUGAUAUCAGUAUCAAACUUUUGAACAAAGAGUUCAGCAUCAAGUCUCAGUCAUCUGGAGAUUUGAAUGCCCAAAUAUAUUCACAUGCUCAUACAAUAACAUUUUAAAAAUGCAUUAUGCAAUAGAAACAGAACAUCAAACUGACAGAGAAAACAUGCUGAUGCAGAAAAUACUCAAGUCGUAGAAAGGAGAACGCAUGAAAGUCCACACAUUAAACCAAAAGAAACACAAAUGGGCAAGCAAACAUGCGCCCUUACUUCUGGAGGCUUGUACGAUAAUGGGCAAGCAACAUUGUUUUUUUGAGGUUCGCACAGUAAUGACUAAAUACACAACAUGACAUUACUCCUGUGCUGUCAACAAUUCUUCUAACUUCUUCAGCAAUGUGAAGCCAAUUUGUAUCCCAUUGCCAAUGGAACAGUUGGAAUUAUUUCCCACCAAAUCUAAAACAUAUUCGCAGCACCAACCUUGAAAUCAUGUAACAGUUAACCACCAUUCAACAUGAGAUUGUUCUGCUAGGAAAACAUGAUAUCAAACUUUUGAACAAAUAGUACAGCAUCAAGUCCAAAUAUAUUCACAGCUCAAAGACAUGAGUCUCCAUCUUCUUUCCACCCCAUAUUUCUGGUCCACUCUCUAUUAAUGCUUGAAUCUUCAGCUACUUCAGGUACCUGUAAACCAAUUCAAGCAUGGCAUGCUCAUUUAACUUGUAAUCUUAUUAUUGAGAGAAACAAGAAACAAACAUACUAAAAGAGAGGCAAGAAAUCAAGUCAAAUCAGCAGCACCUCUGAUUGAGCACUCAUUGAACCAUCUGGUGUAGUAGCAAAUUUUGUGGUCAGCUUUGGACAUUGAUGGACCUUCAACUUCUCCAAACGAGGGAAUAAGAAAUAAUCACACCAUCCGAAACUAAAACAGACAAUACUUGAUAAUUGUUCUAGCGACAACUCCUUUAGAUUAGGAAGCACUAUCUCCUUCUCAACGUUGAUAGGUGAAGCUUGACCAUCCUGCUCAGGAGACUCUGGAAUUAUUUCCCUUUCACCAUCCUCUUCUCUGAUAAUAUGCUUCAAUUGACCGCAUUUACUUAUGUAAAGUCUUUGUAGCUUUGGCAGACUUCGAGCGAGGGACGGUGUGAAGAUAAAUGUCAGUUUGUUGAGAGACUCCAAAUUCAGACGAUUAAGACUUUGGAGGCUGACAUGUCUAGAUUGUUGUAUUAAACUCAAUCCAUCCAGAAGGUCAAGGAAGGCAGCCACCAGCUGUCACCGCCCAGCCACCAACCGGCCAGCCGCCAGCCACCAGCUGUUUGCCGCCACAGCCGCCAGCCGCCUUCACACUUGAAGGUUGAAUUUUCUUGUUUUGAAUUCGUGUAUAAAUAGCAAGCUAAGCUUAUGUUAUUCUGUGUGGAGAGAGUAGAGAGAAACACUAGAGAGAAAGAGAGAGGGCGUGUAUUGUGUUAAGCUUUUGUGUUAAGUAAUUGUAAGCUUUUGUUCUUGAAAUAAAACAGUGUGUUUUAUCCCCUCCGAGUGUUUCAAAGCCACCACCAGUGGUUUCUCCCACCAACAAUUGGUAUCAGAGCCCCGUUCGUCAGAAAACAGAAGUGUUUUGGGAGAUAUCCGAAUUUUCAAAGUUGUCAAAAACAAGUUUUGAUCAUUCCAUUGUAUAGAGCUCAUCCAUACGAACUCACUGCCGCAAAAAUCAGCUCAAUCGGACACCGGGGUGAGCCACACGCGCCGCCUGAAGAUCCGGUGACUGUAGCCCAGUCUCACCCACGCGCGCCAGAGGAAGAAGACGAGUGACGUCCACGCGCGCCAUAUUUGAGCCGUUAAGCCGAGCCGAGCCGAGCUGCAAGCCAAGCCUCCAGCCGCGCCGAAGAAUAUUCCCAAGAAUAUUCCCUUUUCAAGCCGAGCCGCUAUUAGCCGAAGCCGAGCCGAUAGAAUAUUCCACAGAAUAUUCCCGGUUCAACCCAGCAAACCGCCCGACGCCCAGAAUUGGUUUUUUGACCGGUUCACCCAUUUUCUGACCUGAUUUCUACAAAGUCAAACCGGUUCCCGACUAUUUCGACCAUUCCGGAUCGAUCUACAAUGUCGGUUUUGCCAAAUUCAACUCCCAGAAGGAGAUAUAGUCAUUAAAAGAGCAAAAUGACUACAGAAAGUACACAAACACUCAUCCCGAAGCUGACCAAAGACAACUAUGAUAGUUGGUGCAUAAGAUUAAAGGCAUUUCUUGGUUCACAAGAGUGUUUGGAGAUUGUACACUAUGGUUAUGAUGAACCAGAGUCUAAAGAAGAAGAAGAUGCUUUACAAGAGGCACAGAAGCAAGCCCUGAAAGUCAACAGAAAGAAGGACAACAAAGCAAAGACCAUCAUCUACCAAGGUCUUGAUGAAGAUACAUUCGAGAUCAUAGCUUCCGCUGAAACAUCAAAAGACAUAUGGGAGGCUCUCCAACAAAAAUACAAAGGUGCUGACAGAAUCAAGAAGAUUCGUCUUCAAUCUUUGCGAGGUGAAUUUGAGUUAUUGCAAAUGAAGUCCUCAGAAUCUAUUUCUGAUUAUCACACAAGGAUUAUGGUGAUAGUCAAUCAGAUGAGGAGAAAUGGAGAAGCCAUCAUAGAUUCUCGAAUUACUGAGAAAAUUUUGAGAUCCCUAGAUCCAAAAUUUGAUUUUGUUGUUGUCGCUAUUGAAGAGUCCAAGGAAGUGGACAAGUUGACAGUUGAUGAGCUUAUGAGUUCUUUGCAAGCUCAUGAGCAGAAGAUUGUAAAGCGAAAUGGAGAUAAGGCCAUCGAGCAUGCCUUACAAGCAAAGAUGUCUCUCAAGGACAGAUAUGAGCAAGGGGAGACUUCAACAAGUGGAUAUACCACUCAAGCAGGAAGUCAACAAUCCAGAGGAGGAUUCCAGAGAUUCCAAGGAAGAGGUUCUUGGAAUACAAGCUUUAGAGGAAGAGGUGGUAGAAACACCACCAGAGGAGGUAGAGGACAGCAAGCAUUCACUCCUAGAGGAAGAGGAGGCGGUUACAAUAACCGUGACAAGAGGAAUAUCCAAUGUUAUAGUUGCAAUCAAUUUGGGCACUAUAGCACUGAAUGCAGAAGGAAAGCUCCGUUGGAGAUACGUGAGCAAGCCAACUAUGCAGAGAAGGAUGACAUAGAAGCUGCAUUUCUUGUCCAACAAGAACUUGGCGAGAAACAGGAAAAUAUAUGGUAUCUAGAUACUGGAGCCAGCAAUCACAUGUGUGGCUACCGAGAGUUAUUUAGUGAUCUAGAUGAGACCAAGCAAGGUCUAGUUACUUUUGGAGAUACCUCAAAGGUUCCAUUCAAAGGUAAAGGCAGCAUCCCAAUCAAGUUGAAGAACGGCGAUUCCAGCUACAUCGCCAAUGUUUAUUAUGUCCCAGCCAUAAAGCAGAACCUGAUCAGCUUAGGUCAACUUUUGGAGAGAGGAUAUACUUUUUACUCGAAGAAUUGCCAUCUGACAAUUAGAGACAACAAUUGGAGAUUAAUGGCCUAUGUGAAAAUGUCCAAGAAUAGGAUGUUUCCUUUGAACAUCCAGUAUGAUGCAGCAAGGUGUUUGAGUGCCAUCACCAACAGUGAAGAAUGGCUCUGGCACCUGAGGCUUGGACAUCUGAAUUUCACGAGCUUGAAGAUGCUAGCAAGCAAGAAGAUGGUCAAAGGUAUGCCUCACAUUGAUCAUCCAGAUGAAGUCUGUGAGAGUUGUGUCCUCAGCAAACAUCACAGAUCCAGUUUUGCCAAAGAAGUCAACUGGAAAGCAAAGAGGCCACUGGAGUUAGUACACACAGAUGUGUGUGGCCCAAUAACGCCUAUGUCGACUGGACAGAAUAGGUACUUCCUCACUUUUAUUGAUGAUUUUAGUAGAAAGACGUGGAUAUACUUUCUGAAGAGGAAGUCAGAAGUAUUCAAUUGUUUUAAAGAUUUUAAAGCAAUUGUGGAGAAGCAAAGUGGUUACAUGAUCAGAACAGUGAGAUCUGAUCAAGGUGGAGAAUAUACAGCAAAUGACUUUGAAGCCUUCUGUACACAACAAGGCAUCAGACAUCAAACAACGCCUGCUUAUACACCACAGCUGAAUGGUGUAGCUGAAAGGAAGAAUCGCACGAUUCUUGACAUGGCAAGAAGUCUGCUCAAAGCAAAGAAGUUGCCCAAGCAAUACUGGGCUGAAGCUGUAUCAUGUGCAGUGUAUCUACUGAAUCGCUGCCCAAACAGAAGUUUGCAAGGUGUCACUCCAGAAGAAGCUUGGAGUGGUCACAAACCAAGUGUUACUCAUCUACGAGUCUUUGGUUGUGUGGCAUAUGCAAAGAUCCCAGAUGCAAGAAGGAGAAAACUCGAUGAUAAAAGCGAGAGAUGCAUCUUUGUGGGAUAUGGUGAAAGAAGGAUGGGAUACAAGCUGUAUAAUCCCAUCACGAAGAAGGUGAUUAUGAGUAGAGAUGUUAUCUUUGAAGAAGAUAAAUCUUGGGAAUGGACUGAUAAUAAAGAAGCAGUUAGAUGGAUCAACAUUGAUUUGAUCCUUGAAGGUGAAGAAGUACCAACAGUACUUGUCGAAGAACCGAUUGUGCCAGCAGCUGAACCACAAAGUCCGGUGAUUAUACCAGCAGCUGAACCACAAAGUCCAGUACACAGAUUCCCUGUAUUCAACAGGAGGAACACACCAGGAGCAUCAUCAUCAACACCAGCAGCAGCAUCCUCGUCAGAAGGACCAAGAAGGAUGAGAAAUCUUGACGAGUUGUACGAUGCCACGCAAGUCAUCGAAGAUACAACUCUAUUUUGUUUCUUUGCAGACAAUGACCCACUUAGCUUCAACAAAGCUAUCACAGAAGAGAAGAUAGAAGCAAUGGAUAAAGAAAUGCAUGCCAUUGAGAAGAAUGAUAUCUGGAAGCUGACUUAUCCACCAGAAAGCAAGAAAGCAAUAGGUGUCAAAUGGGUCUAUAAGAAAAAGAAGAAUGCAAAAGAAGAAGCGCAAAAAUACAAAGCCAUUGAAGAGGGAAACAUUUAUCAGAAUGAAGUUCAUGCUUGGCAUGACAUCCCUCGAUUGAGUUUAAAGGGGAGAUUUGUUGUAUUAAACUCAAUCCAUCCAGAAGGUCAAGGAAGGCAGCCACCAGCUGUCACCGCCCAGCCACCAACCGGCCAGCCGCCAGCCACCAGCUGUUUGCCGCCACAGCCGCCAGCCGCCUUCACACUUGAAGGUUGAAUUUUCUUGUUUUGAAUUCGUGUAUAAAUAGCAAGCUAAGCUUAUGUUAUUCUGUGUGGAGAGAGUAGAGAGAAACACUAGAGAGAAAGAGAGAGGGCGUGUAUUGUGUUAAGCUUUUGUGUUAAGUAAUUGUAAGCUUUUGUUCUUGAAAUAAAACAGUGUGUUUUAUCCCCUCCGAGUGUUUCAAAGCCACCACCAGUGGUUUCUCCCACCAACAUAGAUGGCCCCUUCCAUAUACAUUUGAGCUCAGGUAAACAUGACAGCCGUAACUCUGUUAAAGAUGACAGAAGCGGUAGCUCCUUCUCCUCACUACUUCCUUCAUCAGGCUCACCUAAUUCAAAUACCUCUUCCAAUGAUUUACAGCUGUCAACAAUCACCUCCUCUAGAUUGUUCAAAGCUCGGAGCAAUUUUGCUGGAAACGGAGUGCGAACAUCCCCACAAUCGUCCACUCGUACAAAUUCUAAUCUUUGUAAGAAGCCGUUUUGCUGCCCAUGGACGACCAUCUUAUCAGAGAACAAUAUUAUAUUUUUUCACUCAUAAAAACAAUUUAUAUGAUGAGAGAAAAAAAAAAAAACAGGAUUACAUACUUUUUAGAGAUUACAUAUUAUUGUUUCAGUUUUUUUCUUAAUUAGAGAUAAGUUAAAUAAUAAUUAGAUUUUUGCGAAAAAAGGUUACUACAACUCCUAAUAAUUAGUUUCAUGUAAAAAAUAAAAAUAAAAAUAGUAACUAAUAUUUUUAUUUUAGUUAUAAAGUUAAUAAAUUUUUAAAGAUAUUUUAAUUGAAUUAAAUAUUUGAACACAAAAUAAGCUAAUAUGAUUUCUAUGAUUAAUUGUUGGUAUUAAGUUUCUUAUAUUUAUAUAUGUUUAGAUAAAACAAAAAAAUAAGCAGUGACGAAGAAAGAAUAAAUCUAACAGAUAAUAUAAAUUACGUAAAUCAUGAGGCAGUUAAAUCUAACAGAUAAUAUAUUUCAAAUGAGGCAGUCAAAUCUAACAGAUAAUAUAUUUCAAAUGAGGCAGUCAAAUCUAACAGAUAAUAUGUUCUUCCAUAUGAUUAAUUUUUAAUAACGCAGACAACAAUGAGGCAGUUAAGUUUUUUAUAUUUAUAUAUGUUUACAUAAAAAAAUAAAUCAUAAAAAAAUAAAAAUAAGCAUUUAUCAAUUACUUUACUUUUAGAAAUUGGGAGGAAGAAAGAAUAAAUUAUCGCAAUUGACAAUUUAAUUUAGUGGAGAAAUAUAAAUUACGUACUUGUAGCUGUGCCAACCAAUUACCCACUUCUUCGUGGCCUUCAAUGGUUAAUCUUUGCAAGGGCAAUUGAGCAUCAAAAUUCCUUGGACCUAAAAAGCUGUAAUUAGAUUGGAGCCAAAGAGAAAAUUCUCUUAGCCGAGGGAACUUGAUGAUGCCAUCUCUGGUAAGUGCAUCUCCUUCUCCACCGUAAAAUAUUUGCUUUAAAUUGUCAGCACGAGCAAUCCUCAUCUGUUCCAGGUUCGUAAGACUUGGAGACAUGGAGACAGGGAAGACAUAUUCCAGUGAAAAACAGAAAGAUAUGUUGAUUUUUUUUAAUUUUGGGAAGCGAGGAGACUCUGGAAUUAUUUCCCUUUCACCAUCCUCUUCUCUGAUAAUAUGCUUUAAUUCACCGCAUUCAUUUAUGCGAAGGCUUUCUAGCUUUGGCAGAUUUCGAGCGAGGGACGGUGUGAAGAUAAAUGUCAGUUUUUUGAGAUCUGAAACUUUCAGAUGAACAAGAUUUUGGAGGCUGACAUGUCUGGUGGGCCCCUUCCAUAUGCAUUUGAGCUCAGGUAACUCUUGCAGCUUUAACAGUGUUAAAGAUGACAGCAGCUCCUUCUCCUCACUGCUUCCUUCAUCAGCCUCACCCAAUUCAAAUACCUCUUCCAAUGAUUUACAGCUGUGAACAAUCACCUCCUUUAGAUUUUUUAAACCUUGCCGCAAUUUUGCUGGAAACAGAGUGAAAACAUCCUCACAAUCCCUCACUUUUACAAAUUCUAAUUUAUGUAAAAACAAUUGCUCAAAUGUCUUCGCAUUGAAGGAUGUACCAGCCAAAAUUAAUCUUGUCGAGGUUGGGUAUCGUCCUGCAUCAAACCGAUUCCCAAAUAUUAUAUCAUAUUUGCGCAAGCUAACUGGAAAAACAAAAUCUCUGGGAAUGCAUUCAACCUUCGGUAUCCACAAUGAUAAUACGGCUAACUGAGACAACGAAUUUAGUUCUGUUAGGCUUGCAUUCAUUCCUCCUGUGCUGUCACAUCCAACAGCAUCCCAUCCCUGAAAGCUGCGAUCCCCGAUCAACAGCUCUUCUAACUUCUUCAACCUUCCAAUCAAAUUCACAGGGAUCCUUCUUAGCCUUUCACAACCUGUCACAUCCAACAACCUUAACUCCUUGAGCUCUCCUAUUUCAUCAGGUAAUUCUUCAAUGGAUAAGCACCGUCUAAGACCAAGAAUCUUAAGUCUCUGCAGCUUUCUCAACCCAAUGAGGUCCUUGCAUCCACACCUGAUCAACACCAACGAUUGAAGUUUCGUUGAGAGUUCAAGUGAUUGCAAUGACAAGCACCCUCCCUUCAGAGACAAAACUUCAAUUUCUGUCAUCCCUUCAAAAAACCUCUGAGGAACAUUCAAACCAGAAUCCACUUCCAAUAAUAGAACUUUGAGCUGUGGGCAUACCAAUCCUUCAGGAAGUUCUGCUAGUUUAUUGCCCAUUAACGAAAUUGUUGUACAACCUUCAAAGCUUUUACCCGUCCAUUGCCAAUUCUCUAACCCUAAGCCAGCCUUGACCAUGAAUCCAUAUUCUUUUGAUGCUAUCUGAAUAGCAACAUCACGAACAAGGUCAUGCAUUUUCACAUGUUCUUCAGUUUCAGAGCCCAACAGCAUGCAACAAUCUUUGAGGUUUUCGAUUGCCACAGAAACUCGUUUCCUUGCAUCUUCAAUGGGCUCCGCAUCUUGAUGUAACCCAUAGCCAACUGCAUAUCUCGUCAAGUCCUCGAUUGGAAUGUCAUAAUCUUCUGGAAAUAAACAGCAUAGCACGAAACAUGACUUGGUUUCCUCGUACUUCAAAUAAUCAUAGCUCAACUUAAGACAUGUGUAAGCAUUAUUUUGUUCAUCAAUUUGUUCCAUGCGCACAAAUUGAGAUUCUUUGAGCUGUUUAGACGCUACUUCCCACUGAACUCGUGAUUUACCUCUUAGAGCCCUUCCCACUGUCACAAGUGCUAUAGGCAAGCCUUGGCAUUCUCUCGCAACCUCCCUUGCCACUGUGUUCAAGGUAGAGUCCCCAUCACGUAAACCUGCAUUGAUACUGAAUAAAUCCCACGCUUCAUCUUCAGGUAAGACUCUUAAAUGCACUUUUUGCUGGCACUCCAUAGAAAAACAUAUGCCUUGAACACGUGUUGUUAGAAGAAUUUUACAACCCCUGUGAUCAUCACCAAAUGGGAUCCCUAUCUCUUUCAAGUCAAUAUGUUUCCAAACAUCAUCCAGGGUUAUAAGCAUCUUCUCCACUUUCUUCAGUCUCUGCCGUAAUCGAUCUGCUCUCCCUUCUUUACUGUUUUCUUCAAUUUUCAAACCUAACAUAUCUGCCAUUCGGUUCUGAAUGUCUAUGACAUUUGGAUUCUGCGACACCGUAGCCAUCAAAACUUCAUCAAAAAGCUGCGACUCUCUGGCUAUCGUGCCUACUCUUUUCACCAGGGUGGUUUUACCCACCCCUCCCAUGCCGUACAGUCCGAUCAUAUUGGCGUUGUCAUCUUUGCGAGCUUUCAUAAUCUGUUCCAAAGCUUCUUUUGAAGAUUCUGAGGGCGUGAAUUCCUUUGAUGGAAGAAAUUCUAUGGGCUGAGGAGGAAAUUUGUGGGCCACUUUUGUAAACUUUGUUUCUGAAAGUCUCCGACUCCUUGGCCAGUGCCUUGCUUAACUUGAAUUGUCGAAUGCAGUUUGGACACCAAGUGAAGCAUUUGCCAUUUUUUCCUAUUUCUUUUUCCAAGGGCUUCGCACCUUCAAUUUUGCUGUUUGCAUCUUCCAUCCACUUUUUGACACCUUUCUUAAUUUCUUCAGCAUUCCUUUCAGCAGCUUCGACUUCUUUUUGCAGACCAUCUAGUGCUAAAGCAAGGUUCUCCUUUUGUUCUUUGAAUUCUUCAACAAAAUUGUUGAAACAGAACAUGUAACGGAACUGCCUUCCUACUGGUUCCACCAUGAGUUCUGCUAUCUUAGAUAUAAUGGAUCCACCCACACUUUCGAGAGCCAUUUUCCACCAGUCUGAAAAUCAGAGAAAUGAGGAUACAGGACGUGAGAGUGAGUCACUACAAGUAAAACAGGCGCAGAGAGAAUGGGAAUAGGAAUUCCAUUACCGUAAUUUGGGAAAAUAUGCGCGGAAAGCACUGGUACUGAGAGCUCAAUGAAAUAGCGGGAGGAAGAAAAGGAGAAGGCCUUUAGCUCUGUAUGGAAUCCAGCUUCAAAAGCAACAAGGCAAGGUAUAAGGAUUCUAACUGACACUUGUGAGUUAAAGCAGUAAUUCCCAUUAAAAAUGCAUUUUGAUGACAUAAUUAAGAUCAUAUUGAGACAGUGGCAAACAAAAAAUAAAUGUAUAAAAGUACUCACCUAGCAAAGAAAGAAACGAAUGAAAGGUUCAGGAUAAUCACUUAGCUCGCUUCCAACAACAAAUAUAAUUAAUUAAUCUAAGCUAUGAUCGGUCAAAGUUUUUUUUAGUUUUAUUCUUUUUUUAAAAAAAAAAAAACAGGAAAAAACUUGCAAAGAAAUAGAAUUACUGGAAUGAACACAAUAAAAGAUGAAACUCAAGCAAUUAAAAAUAAAUUAUCUAUGAUGAUCAUGUCUGUGUCACACUCAAUGAGGUAAUCACUAUUACAAUAUUAAAUAAAUAAAUAAAAGCUAAAAGAACUAGGUUUUUGGUGGCAUCCAGAGUGCGGUUACUUUCUUCAUCCUUCUUUUGUGGUUUUAUUUUAUUUCAGUCCUUCAAAUCUUUUUCUUUUGCUAUUUCAUCGAGUUGCUUUGCUCUUGAGUUGAUGUGCUUGCCCUAGAAUAUGCAUUAUGCUAGGGAUUACAAUUACAUUACAUAAGAAAUUAUACUUACAGAUUAUAAUUAAAAUUUUCAGUUUUUUUUAAACAAAUUUAUGAGAAAGUACCAAUAUUACAACGUGAGUAAAUGAUAGGAGAAUUUUAAAUCUUUUUGUGACAUGGUGACCAGCUGAUCCAAGUAACCAAUAGAUUAUCGCCACUUGUUCAACCUGAUCUGCACUUUAAGAUAGGGGUAGUCAUAACUAUUCCUCGUUUUGUUUGAGGAAAAAUAAUUUUUUUAAAAAUAAAUUUUAAAUUUUUCUAUAUUUAUUUGCUAUUAAAAAAAUUAAUCAAUAAAAAAUAUUUUUUAGUAAAAAAAAUUAGUUUUAUUUUUUAAAAAGUAUUUUUCUUUUAUUUUAGGCGGAAAAUACUUUCCAGAAAUUGUGAAAAAUUUAGAAAUAUCAUAUUAUUUGUUGAUUAUAACAAAUUGGAUCCUCAAACUUUUAAUUGCUAUAUAUUUUGUUUUGAAUAUUUUUGUUUUCAAUUUCAUCUGUUAUAAUUUGAUUUUAUAUUAAAUUUGAUCCUUAUUUUUAUGAUUGUUAUUUGUUUUUCUCUUUUUAUUUUUUUAAUUGAAAUUUUUUAUUUAUCAAAUUUGAUCAUCAUUCUUUUGAUUGUUAUUUAUUCUAUUUGAAAUAAUUUAUGAAUAGAGGGAGAGGUUGUUGGAGGCAGAAAAGGAAAGACUACGAUACUAUUUUUCUCUAUAUUUUGAGUUUUAGUUGUUAACAGCCAUGCUCGUUUGAUUUUAUUUUAUUUUUAUUUAUUUUUUUCAUGCUCUUGCAGAUAAGGCAGGAAAGGAGGACCUGAAAUCACGACAGCGAAUAAGGAGAGAAAUAGCGUGUUUGUUUUUUAUUUUUGAAAUUAUUUUUUUAUAAAAUUAUUUUUUUAUUCUAAAUUAAUUUUUUGUAUUUUUAAAUUGAUAUUAAAAAUAAUUUAAAAAAUAAAAAAAUAUAUUAUUUUAAUAUAUUUUUAAAAUAAAAAAUAUUUUUAAAAACAACUACUUAUUCAAUCACUUAAAAUAAAAACCUUAAAAUCACGGCAUGAUAAAAGGAGGAAGAAAGGAAUGGGACAAAGGAGGAAGAAAAUAAGGUCACGUAUAAAAUAGAAGAUGAAAAUUAGUAUGAAAAAGAGGCUAUUUGUUUUUUUAAUGUGUCAGAGUGGUUUUUAUAAUUAUAUUUAAUUUAUAAAAAUAUUAAAUUAAUAUAUUUUUAAAUAUUUCUUGUUAUUAUUAUAUAUAUAUAUAUAAUAUUCUAAUAUUUUUUUAAAUAAAAAAUUAUUUUAAAAAAAUAUGUGUCACAAUACUAAAUUAUAGUACAAAUUAAAAUAUAAAAGAGUUUUCUAUUACUAUUUACCAAGACUUAUUUUGUUGUGGAUGUGGAUAUUAAUAGUGAAUUUUUUUAAAAUUUUCAAUUUGAUAUUUGAAUUUUUUUUUUUCAUAAUCGAAUCUCUUUAUGCCCAAAUUAAAACUCAAUUGCAUUUUGUUUUUUAAGUAUAAGAGUUGAAUUCAAAGAUAGAUGACUGAAAUGAAAAACUUGGUAAAAAUAUGCGGCGACAUUGUAAUUGUUUGCAAAGUUCAUUUUAGUCCCUUAUCUUUUUGAGCUACUAAGUAACAUGUCCCUAUAAUUUCUCAACAUUACAUUUUAUCCAGAAUCUCAGAUUAUGCUCUACGGACUAAACUAAAUUUUUCAUAAAUUGAGAGACCAAACUGAAAUUUAUCAUUUUCAAUCUUAAACCUAGAAUUUUCACAUAUCACCUACUGAUAUAACAAGAUUUCUAACUCAAAUUCACCAUUUAAACAAACCAUAACUCAAAAUCAUCAUUUUUACUUAAAGUCUUUCAAAAUCAACUAAAUAACUCAUUAUUCAUAACAAUCAACACAUAAUAUUCAAAUCAAUUCAUCAAUCAAACCCAAAACACAAUCUUCAAAACUCUAAUAUUCAACAAAACAGAAAAUUAAAGCUAAGAAAAACACAUUUAUACACAUCAAAGCGUAAAUAUUCUUACAUUUUAAUUUAUUUUCUCUAACUCUCUUAUCCUUUUGUUUAUCUUUUUCUCUUUUCUCUUUUUCUUCUUUCACUCUCACGGUUUUUUCUCUAAGAAUUCAAAUCUUUCUCUUUUUUAUUCUAUUUAUAUUUAUGAACUCUUUGUUCAAUUACUACAAUAUCGUUCAUUCAUUUAUACCUACUUUUAAGCCUCCAAGAGUUUUGUUGUUUUUUUCUAUUCUCUUUUAUUUCCAAAUCAUCACAAUAAAAUUGUUUUCUUUUUAUUAAGCUGCUAAUUUAUGCAGCUUUAGCUCUUGUUCUCUCUUCUUGUCUUGCUAUUCUGAUUUUAUCUUUUUCUUUACAUGAUAUAAGAGCAGGUUCUUACCUCUUGAAGUCUGCUGGAUAAACCUAUCAGCAGAAGAUCCUGAAGCGAUCCCAAAUCACAGCUUCAAUCCCCACCACAACCAAUCUCCUCUUUCCCGUAGUCUGUCGUCCUCAAUUGGGAAAUGAUCUCAAAAAAUCACUUGAUGCAACAAGUAGGGUAGAGAAAUAUAAGACUUCAACAAAGAAUCAAACUCAAAAAAAUAAAAGUAAUUGUCUAUGAGAAGCAUUUCUGUGUCACACACUCAAGUAAUAUGAUUGACCUAUUACAUUAUACAAAUUAACAAUAAUAAUAAUAAUAAUAAUAAUAAUAAUAAUAAAAGAACUAGGUUUUUGAUGGCAUCCAGAGUGCUGUUACUUUCAAACAAAGAGGCUUGUGCAUGCGGUGUUAUGCUGUUCGUGUAGGCUAAGAUCUCCUAUGAAUACAUUUGUAAAAUCAUACAAUUGUAUUCUUUUUAUUAAGCUGCUAAUUUAUGCAGCUUUAGCUCAUAUUCUCUCUUCUUGUUUAGCAAUUCUGAUCUGAUCCUUUUCUUUGCAUGAUAUAAGAGCAGGUUCUUACCUCAUGAAGUCUGCUGGAUGAACCUAUCAGCAGAAAAUCCUGAAUCAAUCCCAAAUCACAGCUUCAAUCCCCACCACAAUUACCAAUCUCCUCUUUCCUGUAGUCUUUCGUCCUCAAUUGGAAAAUGAUCCAAAAUCAACAACCAGUUCGGAGAUAGUCUGUGUGAAAAUAAACGGCUGAGAGAUGAAAUGUGAAGGUUAUGGUGAGAAAUUAGAUGACAAACUUACUUUGUCCUACUAAUGCUUUUGCUUUCAUUGUUUCAACAAGUAAAAGAGACAUAAGCAUAAUCAUAAGAAUCCUGUUUUUUCUAUUUUUUUCACCUAUUUAUACAUCAAAAAAUGGCAGUUUUUCUUGUCCUUUCUUUUUAAAAUCUUAUGCCUUGGGUGAGGAAAUUAGUGGAGCAUAAGACGUUUUAAAAGACAACAAAAAGAAGCAAUGUCUCAUCUUUUGAUAUGGUGGUCUUCCAUGAUCAGUUUGUUGAUGAAGAUAUCGAAAGAUUCGAGUCUCCGUUCUAGCUCAGGUUGGAAGCUAGGCCGAAGGCUAAGCUUCUUUUAAUUAUGAAUUGUUUAUGCAAAGGAAACCCAGAAGCUUGAACAAACAGAAAUGCCUUGUUGAUUUCUCUGCUACUACUCAUUAUUUCCAAUAUUAUUCCAUUAUCUUACCCGAAAGCAAUUAUACAAGAAAUUUCAUUAUCCUGCCCCAAAGGCAAUUUAUUACAAGGACUUCCUUUAACCUCCUUGAAGGCAAUUUAUUUGAUGAAAAUUCCUUUAAUCCACCUCAAAGACAAUUUAUCUUAGGGAAUUCCAACGACCCAGGCAAUUUAUUUGCUGAAAUUCCUUUAACCUCCUUGAAGGCAAUCAAGAUUUUAAAUUAAAAACCAUCUAGGUGGUGGCCCAGUGGUAAGAACCUGGGACCAAGAGGUUUGCUCAUCUGCAUAAUUAAAUAGUACUGUUACUGUAAACUACUAGGAAAUUCAUGCGUAGAGCCAAAAUGUUAACAAUAGCACAACGACCCAGGCAAUUUAUUUGCUGAAAUUCCUUUAACCUCCUUGAAGGCAAUCAAGAUUUUAAAUUAAAAAGCCAAAAAUGAACGCAUCUACUCUUGCAAGAAUGGACUCAAAAGGUCAGCUAAUCCGCAUAAUUAAAUAGUACUGUUACUGUAAACUACUAGGAAAUUCAUGCGUAGAGCCAAAAUGUUAACAAUAGCAUUGAUUCGGUCAGGGGCUCUGGUGUAUAGAGAGGACCUUGCCGUUAGAAACUAUGAACCCACUAUUUAUUAAUCCAUUUCUAUUUAGUACUAUUUACUAUUUAUUUAUUUUUAUUUACUAUAUUUCUGUAUGUGAUACCUAAGUACCAAUAAAAUUUGAGAUUCCUUCAAUUUUUUAGGUGCAUGUACAAAAUCAAUUCAAGAGUGUGUAUCCUUAACUAUAUAUCAGGCUAACCUUUACAGGCUGAGCUAGCAAUCGAUAAUUAAUUUUUAAUGAAUUCAUUUUUUAUUUAAAAUAAGGAAAAGGACAUUGUUACACCUUAACUAUUAUAAUUGUUACACCUUACCAAAGGGUUAAUUUAGAAAAAAAUUAUCAACUUACAGGUCACUGGCCGAGGUCAACUUAUGAUUAAGUAGAUCAAUUUAAAUUAAUUAUUUUUAUUAAAAUGAUAAUGUUUUGUUUUUUUUUUUCUUGAUAUUAAUUUGGCUAAUUUUUAUCAAAUCAAAUCACUAAAAACUUAAUCAAAUUAAAUUUCAUCAAAUCAAUAAUAUUUGAUGUAGUUGAAUUUUAUAUAUAUAUAUAAAUAUUUGAAAAUAAUUUAAAAAUGAUGUUUUCAUUAAUACCCAUUCUCAAUGUUUUUUUUGCCUUAUUUAGCUUUUUUUUCAAUUAGUUUUAAUUUUAUUAGCUUGGUUUAGUUUUUUAAGAGGUUAAUAUGAUUUAUUUGUAAUUUGUUUUAUAUAUUUCAGAUAUAUUAAGUAUUUUUUUUAUGUGUGUGUCAAUUUCUUUUAUAUAUUUAUUUUAGUAAAUAAAUUUAUUAAAUAUAACCAGAGAAAUGACUUUUUUAAUCUAUAUUUGUUUCUUAAUUUCUUAAUUUUUCCACCUGCUUUUUUAACUAUUGAUAAUGACUUUUUAUUAUUAUUAUUAUUCACACAAUAUAGUGCUGACACCCGCAGGUUGAGACUUGAGUAAACGAAAAUGAAAUAUUUUGGGUGUCUAUCUCCUAGUUAUGGUAUUAUUAAUAUUUGAGGGUUUUGAUUUGGAAUAAUUAGUGAAGAUUUAAUUAGAACUUAGCCAUGUACUUUAUUAAAAUUAAUUAUUUAGUCCUUAAAGUGUCAUGGAUAAUUAAAAAGUCUAUUAACUAGUGUUGACCACCCUCCAUUUACUAUGUUUUUCUCUAAAAAAUGCCUUCCUUCCUAAUGAAAUUUCCGCAACUGCAUCAGAUGUUUAUUCCCGUUCAAAUGCUCGCAACAGGGAAAGCAUAUGAUAAAGAGAAUGGAACAAGAUUCUUGUCUAUGGAGGGAAUCAAUGCUUCAACUUGCCUUGUGAUUUGCUUUAAUAAGAUUUUUUUUUAUAUAAAAAACAACUUUUAAAUUAUAAUUAAAAGUAAAAUAUCAUAAAUUUAUUUUAUAUUAAAAACCGAAUUCAUUAAACAUAACCAGGGUUGUUUAUUUUUUGUAAUGACUUUGUUUUUUAUUUAUUUAUAUAAUAAUUCAUGAUUUAUUUAAUUCGAUGCGUGCAUAAGUUUUUUAAUUUAUAUUUAGAAUUUUUCUUAAUGUAAAAAAAACAUGUUCAUAAAUUUUUAUUUUUAUGAUUUCAGUUUGAUUCUUAUUUUUAUGAUUUUUUAUGUUUUUUCCUUAUCCUUUUAUAAAAGUUUUUUUGUUUAUAAUUUCACCCUUCAAUUCAAUAUGAUGGAGUAAUUUUUUUUUUCAUUUUUUGCUUUAUAUUGUUGCCUCUCUCCUUUUGGGAAUAUUGUUGCCUCUCUCCUUUUUUUUUUUUUUUUUUCAUUUUAUCAGCUUUUGCAUGUGGAAUAUUGAGUCUUCUAUUUUUUAUCCACAGAAUUGAAUCCUUUAUAUAUUCUUAAAACUAGAUUUGAAUUCUAAUGAAGGAAUAAUAAAGAUUGUUGCAUGUACAAAUUCUCCUUCAAAAAAAUAUAAUAAAGUAUCAUGGAUUUAAGUAUAACUUAGCCCUGUAAUUUAUUAAAAUUAAUUAUUUAGUACGUCCUUAAAGUAUCAUGGAUAAUUAAAAAGUCUAUUAACUAGUGUUGACCACCCUCCAUUAAUUAUAUUUUUCUCUAAAAAAUGCCUUCCUUCCUAAUGAAAUUUCUCCAACUGCGUACUUUUCUUUUCCUUAUUCUAAUUUUUAAGAAAGAAGAAAAAACAUAUUAAUUGGAAAAGAACUAAACAAUAUGUAACUUUAAAAAUAUAAGAAUUAAACAUAUAGUUAUUGAAACUAUGGGAUUAAUUAAUUAUUGUUAUCAAAUUAUAGAGAAUAAAUUAUAAUUGAAUAAGUGUUUGUGUGGAGGAGUGUUUGCAAAUACCAUGGGAGAUGCGAUUUGUAUUAUUAAUUUAGUUGUUGGUAUAAUAGUCCAAAUAUUGUGACGACCAUUUUAUAGAAAUGAGCACAAUGUUUUUAGAAUAUUUAUAAAAAUUGACUUAAACCAAUCAAAAAAAUGAUUUUUGAGUUUGUUAAACAAUUUUAAUAAAAAUAAUAAAAAUAUAAAAUAGAAUUGAAUUGGUUGGAUAUGACCCAAACUAAAUUAAAUAAAAAAACUUAACCAAGCUAUAUUUCAAUGAUCUUGGUAUGGAUUUGUUUUUAUAAAAAAAACAUGUUCAUCCUUUUUUAAACUUCUUGUGGCCUGUUCAUUCAUACUUUAUUAAUAUUUAAAUUAUUUUUUUAUAUUUUUUAAAUUUGUUUUAAUGUUAUGAUAUUUUUUAAUUUUGUUUUGAUUGAUACAUAAAAAUAUUGUUUUUAUUGAUUAAAUUUUAUUUGGAAUUAUUGUUGAUAUUACAAAGACUUAUUUAUUCCUAUUCAGUUGAUAAUGACUACUUAGAUUUUGUAAAAAGAGUUACUUUCUUUAAUAGCCAAUUGAAUGAUUUUUUAUGAGAAAAAUAAAACAUCUUUUGAUGUGAAAAAAAGACACCAUGCACCGUCGUGUGAUACGAUGCUUUUUUUCUUGUGGCAUGUUUUUGAUGCUUUUGAUACGAUGUUCUUCCAGGAAUUUUUUAUCUUUUUAUUAGGCGGUCUAAGAUGCACAGUCGUGUGUGUGUCUAUAUAUAUAUAUAUAUAUAUAUAUAUAUAUGUAUGUAUAUAUAUAUAUAAGUCAUCGAUGCAUGUUUUUAUUUGGUAUUCAAUUCAAUUUCAUAAACAUUACUUUACUCUCUAAUUAAAUUGCUGCAACUAUAUAUAUUAUACCCUUAACCAGACUAUUAGUUUACCAUUCCUGACUAGCUAUCGUAUCCUUUUGGCAAGAAUCAUUGCCAAUUACUUUAUUCGUAGUAUGUAAGAGUCAUUAUCCAACCAUUUUCAAUUCCAUUUCAAAUCACUUUCUUUGAUAAAUUAGUUUAUAAAAUAUUUUUACAAAAACUCCAUACCAUACAUCUAAACAUCACAUAUGUUCAAAUUAAUUUGAACAUAGCAAGUGUUAUAUCUUCUUUUAAAGAUUGUAAAGGACAAAUAUACAAUUACAUUUUCCUUUUUGGGUCUCAAUUACAUUUGCAUUUACAUAUUGUUCACCUAGUAAUUUCUUUUAUAAAAUUUAUAAUAAACUCAAAAAAAUAAAUAGUACGAGAAACAAAGUUGAUAGACCCAACCGAGAACAUGCUCACGAGUUUAAAUAUCUUAAUUUUAGUUUGUAGAACAUAAAGAGAAAUAGAAUUGAUCCAUUAUUUUGUUUGCAGAACAUAAAUGAGAAAGCAACGUCAAUAUAUAAACUUAAUUAAUAAAUAUAUAGUUGGUUUUGUUUUACAAUAAAGAAUUAUUUUGUUCUAUAAAAGAGUAAUUGAAUUUUAUAAAUAAAAACACGAAAUUAUUUAUUUCCAUGCAAGAUGAAGUCAAGAUUCACCACUUAUUUGUGUGAGGCAAAAUAAUAAUAAUAAUAAUAUUAUUAUUAUUAUUAUUGUUAUUGUUAUUGAAUAAGAUGAAGUCAAGAUUCACCACUUAUUUCCAUGCAAGAUGAAGUCAAAUUUCAAAGUUCCCUUUACAAAUCGGUUGGAUAUGGCCCAAACUAUAUUAUACCCUUAACCAGACUAUUAGUUUACCAUUCCUGACUAGCUAUUGUAUCCUUUUGGCAAGAAUCAUUGCCAAUUACUUUAUUCGUAGUAUGUAAGAGUCAUUAUCCAACCAUUUGGUAUUCAAUUUCACGUUCUUUGAUAAAUUAGUUUAUAAAAUAUUUUUACAAAAACUCCAUACCAUACAUCUAAACAUCACAUAUGUUCAAAUUAAUUUGAACAUAGAUAGCAAGUGUUAUAUCUUCUUUUAAAGAUUGUAAAUGACAAAUAUACAAUUACAUUUUCCUUUUUGGGUCUCAAUUACAUUUGCAUUUUCAUAUUGUUCACCUAGUAAUUUAUUUUAUAAAAUUUAUAAUAAACUCAAAAAAAUAAAUAGUACGAGAAACAAAAACAAGAAACAAAAUUGAUAGACACAACCGAGAACAUGCUCACAAGUUUAAAUAUCUUAAUUUUAGUUUGCAGAACAUAAAGAGAAAUAGAAUUGAAUAUGAUGAUGAUGAUUUCUUUUUUCAUUUUCAGGAGACCUAUAAUAGCCGGUUGAGGGAGAGAUAUGGGGACGAUCCUUUGACCCUCCGGAUUUCGAUCCGGAUUUGUGGAUGGAGGUCGGAUCGUUCGGUGGACUCGAUAAAAAUCGGCUGUACGGGCUCUCCAACACUACGACCGAGAACUUGCGGUCGGCCCGUAGUGUCUCAACUGUUGGGAGCUCCAAAUCAGUAUCGAGCACCCAAUCUGAGGAUAUCAUGACCUUGAAACAACACACAGCUAAUCUCACCGAGAAAUACGAGCAACUCUUGGCAAAUUAUGAUCAACUCCGCCAAAUUGUCAUGAACAUGACUUCACAGAGUGGUGCUACAUGUCCGCCCCCUUUUUGGCCGUAUAACAACCAGCCUCCUCCUCCUCCUCCUCCAACUCCGCCAUUGUGCUAAUUUAAUAUUUUUUUGAAACACAUUCAAUUUGUAAUGAAUAUUAUUUAACACUAUUUUUUUGUUCUUAAUGUUUAAUAAAAUUUUAUUUGCAUAAUUGGUUUUUUUACUAUUAAUUUAUAUAAUUUUAUGUUAUUUAUUCUAAAUCAUUUUUAAUUUUUUUAAAAUACCCACCGAGGGAUUUACCGACGGAAUGUAUCACCGACGAAUUUACAGACGGAUAACGUUCGUCGGCCUUUCACCGAUAGCUAAAAAAUAUUUACUAUAUAUGCCACUAUCACCGACGGAAUAAAUUCGUUGGUAAGGUUCCAGCGGGAAGUUUUUUUUUUGGCGUGCAAUUUCCGUUUGUAAAACCAUCGAUAAUAUUUUUUUUACCGACAACCUUAGCGACGGAAUGCGGUAUUACCGACAAACAUUAUGCCGACGGACGUUUUUCGUUGGCGAUUUAGUCGGUAAAAAAAUUACUGACAAACUCUGAAUCUCAUACCGACGGAAUAUGUCCGUCGGUAAAACUGUGAAAUCUUGUAGUGAUUUAGAUUUGGGUUGGUUUUUUAUUUUUAAAUCAAUUAAAUGUUUAUUUAAGAUCAUGAAUGGACUUAUUGAGGUACCUUUUACCUAUAGCUCACUUUGAUACCCCCUCCGAUAUAUCUAACUCUUCAAUAAAGGAGCAAUUUUUCAUUACAUUCAGCACAAUAUUUAUUUCUCUAACAUGUAUGAAGAUGGCACGAGUUAAAAUGAUUGUGUAAAUUAAUUUACAAUAACGAGGCCUUCGUAUAUAGUAAUUUAUCCCAGACAAGAUGACUAAAGUACUCAAAAGAUUCAAGUAGACGUUGUUUUAACACCUUGAAGGAUUCUGAAAUUCUGCCUUGCUCGAACGCGCACAAAAUUUGCCUUUUCUUUUAUUCCUAAUCGGAUUCGUAUGCAUGCAAAAUUAAAUCACCUUGAAAACUCUUAAUCUCUAUCUCGGCUUUUAAAUAUAUAAUUUAUAGCCAUUGUAAAUUCACAAAAAAAUAUUGAUUUUUUUUUUAAUCUCUUGGGUUAUAAUAACCAUAUCUAUCCGGUGUUGUUUAUUGAAAUAUUUUUCAGUUAUUUUGGAUGAGUAUAAAAUGAAUUCAUAGUUUUUGAACUACAAAACCUAAGUUUUAUCUUGCAAACACCCCCAAAAACUUUUAGUAUUCUCAAAAACUCAAUUUUCAAUCAUAAAAUACCUUCUAAUUAGCCUAAAUGUGAAAAUCAAACCUAAUAAAAAAAAUUAUGGGUCUAAUAUACUUUUUCUAGCACGGUUAAAUGACAAGAUCAUUUUAAUCGAACUUCUUUUUUCAAGAUGAAUCUAUUAAUAUUAAAAUCGGAUUUUUUAGAUCAAAAUAUAAUCAGUCAAAUCCUUUUUUUUCUCCAUUUUCUGACCACAUUCUCUCCCUCCUCUCAAUAUUCAAUAACUUAAAAUAUAAUAAAAAUGAAUUUUUAAGAUUGAAUCAUAAAAAUUUAAAGCUAUAGAAUUAAAUAAAUCUGAAAAACAAAAACUUCAAGAACCAUAUUAAAUUUUUCUGCAACUUCUAAAAGGAUUGCAUUAUAGGAGAAUAGUUUAAUGCAUGAUAACUUGAGUCUUGCUACACAAUAAAAUUUGUUACAGUAAGAAUAACAAAUGUUUUAAUUUAGAAUAUAACUAGUUAGGUGCUCACACUACAUCGCGGGUUCACAUUUUAUUUUCAUAAAAAAUAUCAUAAAAAUUUAUAAUACAAAUAAUAAUAUUUUUUCAAUAUUAAUAAUCAUAUUUUUUCAAAUUUAUUAAUAAUAUUUAUAACACAAAUAAUAAUUUUUUUAUUAUAAUUGUAUUAAUUAUAAUAAAAAUAAAAUAUUUAUAACAUAAAUGAUAAUAUUUUUAAUAGUAAUACUAUUAAUUAUAAUAAAAAUAAUAAUAUUUAUAGCACAAAUGACACUAUUUUUAAUAUUAAUACUUUAAAUUAUAAAAAAUAUAUAUAUUUAAAAUACAAAUAAUUAUAUUUAGAAACCUAAAACCUAAGAACCUUGGGUUUUGAUAAAGGAUCCAAUAGAAUUAGGUUCUGACGCAAGACCCUUUAAGCUUGGGUCUUGAUACGGGACUCAAGACAAUCGGGUCCUGACACAGGACCCGAUUCGAAAGGUAAAAAUAUAAAUUAUUGUUCUUAUUAUCAUUAUUAUCAAUAAUAAAUUUGACAUAAAAUAUUAUUACCACCAAAGAAAAACUAUAUAGUUGAUUUGAAGGAUAAAAUUAAUAUUAAUAAUAAUAAUAAUAAUAAUAAUUAUUAUUAUUAUUAUUAUUAUUAUUAUUAUUAUUAUUAUAUGUGCUAUAGAUAUUAUUAUUUUUAUUAUAAUUGAAGGUAUUAAUAUUAAAAAUAAUAUUAUUUGUGUUAUAAGUAUUAAUAUUUCUAUUAUAGUUCAAAGUAUUAUUAUUUAUGGUAAAAAUAUUAUUAUUUUUAUUAUCAUUGAAGGUAUUAAUAUUAAAAACAGUAUUAUUUAUGGUAUAAAUAUUAUUAUUUAACUUGUCUGCCUAAAUGUUUAUAUUUUUGAGUCUUUAAAAAACAAUUGUGGUUUUUCUUCGAUAGUAAUAAUAGUUUUUUUUAAUUUAUUGAUGAUGAUGAUGAUGAUAAUUUUUAAUUUUACCUUUCAAAAUAAAAUUUAUGGUUGUUUUUCAAUAUUACUAAUAUUUGUUUUUCAAAUUUAUUUAUUAUUUUAUUAAUAAUAUUAAUUAUAAUUAAAAUAAUAAUAUUUAUAAGACAAAUAAUAAUAUUUUUAUUAUAAUAAAAAUAAUAAUAUUUAUAACACAAAUGAUAAUAUUUGUAAAUUCACAAAACAAUAUUGAUUUUUUUUUAAUCUCUAGGGUUAUAAUAACAAUAUCUAUCCGGUGUUGUUUAUUGAAAUAUUUUUCAGUUAUUUUGGAUGAGUAUAAAAUCAAGUCAUAGUUUUUGAACUACAAAACCUAAGUUUUAUCUUGCCCCAAAAACUUUUAGUAUUCUCAAAAACUCAAUUUUCAAUCAUAAAACACAUUCUAAUUAGUCUGAAAGGUGAAAAUCAAACUUAAUAAAAAAAAUUAUAAGUCUAAUAUACUUUUUUUAGCAUGGUUAAAUGACAAGAUUAUUUUCAUCGAACUUCUAUUUUCAAGACGAAUAUUAAUAUUAAAAUCAGUUUUUUUAGAAGGGAAUAUGAUUAGUCAAAUCCUUUUUUUUUCUUCAUUUUCUGACCACAUUCUCUCUCUCCUCUCAAUAUUCAAUAACUAAAAAUAUAAUAAAAAUAAAGUUUUAAGAUUGAAUCAUAAAAAUUUAUAGGAUUAAAUAAAUCUGAAAAACAAAAACUUCAAGGACCAUAUUAAAUUUUUCUGCAUCUUCUUAAAGGAUUGCAUUAUAGGAGAAAAGUUUAAUGCAUGAUAACUUGAGUCUUGCUACACAAUAAAAUUUGUUACAGUAAGAAUAACAAAUGUUUUAAUUUAGAAUAUAAAUAGUGGGUUCACUUUUUUAUAUAUAUAUAAAACAUAUCAUACAAAUAAUAAUAUUUUUUCAAUAUUAAUAAUAAUAUUUUUUCAAUAUUAAUAAUAAUAUUUUUUCAAAUUUAGUAAUUAUUUUAUUAAUAAUAUUUAUAACACAAUUGAUAAUAUUUUUAAUAUUACUACUAUUAAUUAUAAUAAAAAUAAUUAUAUUUAUAGCACAAAUGACACUAUUUUUAAUAUUAAUACUUUAAAUUAUAAUAAAAAUAAUUAUAUUUAAAAUACAAAUAAUUAUAUUUAGAAACCUAAAACCCAAGAACCUUGGGUCUUGAUGAAGGACCCAAUAGAAUUGGGUUCUGACGCAAGACCCUUUAAGCUUGGGUCCUGAUACUAGACUUAAGACAAUCGGGUCCUGACGCAGGAACCAAUUCAAAAACGGAUAAUUCCAACUCUGGCGUUGGUAACUAUUACGUAGCUAUAAAAUAAAUUUAGAUCAAUAUUUUUUUAUUCCUAACUUUAAAGCUAUUGAAUAAAAAAAUAAACUAAAUUCAUCUUAUUACGCAUUCACAUAUUUUUUAUUUCUUAUGUAGUUAAAUAAAAAAACAAAAAAAACAAUUAAAUCAGUGUUUUUAUUCAUGACUCUAGCGUCAGUGAAUAAACAAAAAAAAUAUUAUUUUUUCAUACAUGCACAUAUUUUUUUUUGCUAAAUAAAAUAAAAUAUAACGAAUAAAAAUAAUAUAAAUUUAAACCAGUAUUUUAUUCCCGACUCUGGCGUUGGUAAAUAAAUCAGUAAAUUUAUAUUAUUUUUAUUCAUGAAUACACAUAUUUUUUUAUUUUUUUAUUUUUUAUUUUUUUGGGGCUGGGCCCAGCUCAGCCCACAUGGGCUGGGCUAGCCCAGCCGGCCCAGCCCGGUCACUGGCCCAAGCCAGUGACCCGGCUGGGUCACAGCACGCAUGAACUAGUUUCAUGCGUGCAUGGCGCUGCGCGAAGGUAAUUAAUUACCUUCGCACACUGCUAAAUGCACUGAACUUUCGAAAGUUAAAAAACGAAGAAAACAGAGGAAGCUUACCUUGUUGCAGGUUGCUUCGCCGGAGUGUCAGCGUGUCGGGCGACGAUCAGUGGUGGCGUCCGUCAACAGUAAGCUAUAAUUCCUCCUUCGACCUCUGCCUUACUGCCCUCUGUUUCCUCUGCCCUCGUCUGAAAAAUUAUUCAUGUGCUCUGUUUUUCAAAUUCUCUCUACUCUCUCUCGGUUUGUUUCUGUUUUCGUUGUUUUAAGGCCGGUAUUGGUGAGGGAAAGGUUCACUUCUGGUAUGGGGUUCUAAAAAAAACUUAAAAAUUCGGCUGGUAUCUUUGUGUUUCUCUCUUGGGGUUUCGUUCGUCCCUCUCUCUCUCUAGCCAACCCCUGUUCUUCGGUGCUCCUCGGUUUAUAUAGAGCUCGGGCGGUAGGCUGAGGGUCGACCACCAUUAAGGCGCCCCUAACUGAAGCCAACGGACGACGAUUACUGCUGCAACGUUCUCCCUCCUUUACUGUAGAAAACGGUCACUGGCUUAAAGGAGAAGAAGAUGAACAGCGUCUUCAAAACGACGCCGUUUGGGAUAUGAGAUGGCCAUUUGCGUUUUGACCCGUGAAGUUUCGCAACUUUUAUAAUUAAGCCCCUGGUUUAAACUGUAAUUUCUCCUGCAUUUCGGCGCCUUUUACAAGUUAGUCCUUGGACUUUAAUCUGUUGCAAUCGUGCCCUAAUUAACCCCAAACUUUGCUAUUUCUUCAAUUAAGUCCCUAAGUUCAUUAAUUUAAUUCAAUCCAAGUCCAAUUAAGUCUCAAAACUUAUCAAUUAUCCAAUUAAGCCCCUGAUUGGAUUAAUUAAAUUAAUUCCAAGAUUAAAUAAGUCUCAAAACGUAUCAAUUUUCCAAUUAAACCCUUGAUUGGAUGAAUUAAAUUAAUUUCAAGCUUACUUAAGUCUCAAAACUUAUCAAUUCUUCAAUUAAAUCCUUGAUUGGAUUUAAUUAAAUUAAUUCCAAGUUUAAUUAAGUCUUAAAACUUAUCAAUUCUCUAAUUAAACCCUUGAUUUGAUUAAUUAAACAAGUAAAAAAUUUAAUUUAAAUCUUUAAACUUCCAAUCAUGUUACCCUUAACCCAAAUUUUAAUUCAUUCUUCAUUUAUUUCAUUUUUAUUAUUUAUUUUUCAUCAUCAUUAUUAUAUUUUUUUUCAUUAUUUUUCUUUUUAUCAUUUUCCAGUAAAUAAAAUAAUAAUAAUAAUUAAAAUAAAAUGGUCAAAAAUUGGGUUAUGACAACAUCUAUGGAAAUUCAAUCAUUUAAAAAAAUUCGGCAGCACCUCCCCUGUACUGAAGACUACCCACAAUUUAUAAACCUGCAAUCUUUACAAUAACCACAAUCCAAUUGACUCCAGCAACAUAAUAUAUACAACCUAACAUCUAUGAAAAUUCAAUCAUUUAAAAAAAUUCGACAGCACCUCCUAUAUAUUAGAGACUAUCUACAGUUUUCAUACCUACAAAUAUUAAUAAUUACACAAAUAUUGCAAAAUCAACUCUAUACAACCUAACAUAUAUAUACAACCUAACAUCUAUAGAAAUUCAACAUCUAUAUUUUUUCAACUAACAUCAAUAGAAAUUCAUAAAUAACAAUUAAAAUUAAUCAAAAUAAUAAACAACAUAACAAACAAUAAUAUCCUAAAAUUAAGAUAAACUAAUUAAACUUAAUUCUAUAUUUCAAUUAACAUUUUAAAUAUAAAUUCAACAACAAUAAUUAUUGCAAAACAAACAAUAAUAUCCUAAAAUUAAGAUAAACUAAUUAAAUUUAAUUCUAUAUUUCAAUUAAUAUUUUAAACAUAAAUUCAAUAACAACAAUUAUUGCAAAACAAACAAUAAUAUCCUAAAAUUAAGAUAAACUAAUUAAAUUUAAUUCUAUAUUUCAAUUAACAUUUUAAACAUAAAUUCUUAAAAUCUAUUGUUUUUUUUCAAUAUUAAUAAUAUUUUUUUUUCAAAUUUAUUUAUUAUUUUAUUAAUAAUAUUAAUUAUAAUUAAAAUAAUAAUAUUUAUAAGACAAAUAAUAAUAUUUUUAUUAUAAUAAAAAUAAUAAUAUUUAUAACACAAAUUAUAAUAUUUUUAAUAUUAAUACCUACAAUAAUAAUAAAAUAAUAAUAUUUAUAAGACAAAUUAUAUUAUUUUUCAUAUUAAUACUUUUAAUUAUAAUAAAAAUAAUAAUAUUUAAAAUACAAAUAAUUAUAUUUAGAAAGCUAAGACCCAAGAAGGAUCCAAUAGAAUUGGGUCCUGACGCAAGACCUAUUAAGUUUGGGUCCUGACGCCGGACCUAAGACAAUCGGGUUCUGAUGCUGGAUUCAAGAGAAUUUGGUCCUGACGCAUGACCCAUUACCCUUAGGUCCUAACACAGGACCCAAGCGAAUUGGGUCCUGACGCAGGACCCAUUAGAGUUGGGGUCCUAGGGCAGGAUUUAAGAGCAUUGAGUUCUAACGCAAACCAAUUACCAUUGGAUCCUAGUGCACGACCCAAGUGAAUUGUGUCCUGAGACAGGACCUAUUAGACUUGGACCCUUAGGCAGGAGCCAAGAGCAUUGGGUCCUGGCGCAUUUGAAAUAAAAUAUUAUUACCACCAAAGAAAAACCAUAUAGUUGAUUUGAAGGAUAAAAUUAAAAAUUAAAAUAGUAUUAUUUGUGUUAUAAAUAUUAAUAUUUUUAUUAUAGUUCAAAGUAUUAAUAUAAAAAAUAUUAUUAUUUGUGUUACGAAGAUUAUUAUUUUUAUUAUCAUUGAAAGUAUUAAUAUUAAAAAUAAUAUUAUUUGUGGUAUGAAUAUUAUUAUUUGCGGUACAAAUAUUUUUAUUUUUAUUAUAAUUGAAAGUAUUAAUAUUCAAAAUAGUAUUAUUUGUGUUCUAAAUAUUAUUAUUUUUAUUAUAAUUCAAAGUAUUAAUAUAAAAAAUGCUCUUAUUUGGGGUAUAAAUAUUAUUAUUUUUAUUAUAAUUGAACUAAUAAUAUUUAGAAUAUAAAUUAUAAUAUGUUUGAUAUUAAUACUUUCAACUAUAAUAAAAAUAAUAAUAUUUAUACCCCAAAUAAUUAUAUUUAGAAACUUAAGACCCAAUAACCUAGGGUCUUGAUGCAGAACCCAUCAGCCUUGGAUCCCGACGCCGGACCACAGAGCAUUGGUCCUGUUGCAGGAUCUAAGAGUACUGGGUCUGGACGCAGGACCCAAGAGAACUGGUCCUGAUGCAGGACCCAUGAGCCUUAGGUCCCGACGCCGGACCACAGAGCACUGGUCCUGUUGCAGGAUCCAAGAGUACUGGGUCCGGACGCAGGACCCAAGAGAACUGGUCCUGAUGCAGGACCCAUGAGCCUUGGGUCUUGACGGGGACCCAAGAGAAUUGGAUCCUGACGCUGGACCCAUGAGCUUUGGGUCUCACUAGGGUUCGCGCUGACCCAGCACACAAGCAGGGAAGCCCGAGCGUAAGGUGUCCCCAUGUGGCGCGCGGGUCUGGCUCAGCGCCUAGGGCUUGCCAGCCCUAGCGCCAGGUGUUCGCAUCCCAAGGCUUGUAGCCCCACCAAAACUGGAACUGACCAUUUUCUCCCCAACCAUCCCUUCAAUGCCAAAUAUAUCCCAGUGAGAAGACAACCCCACCCCUCCCCUGCUGUCCUUGCAAAUCUAUGUGGCAAGGGCAACUUUGUCAUUACACUACUUUAAUCCACAAUAUUUUGUAUCUAGAUAAAUAGUAACAAGGGCACUGAACCUUUUUAGUAUAACAAGGAGAUUUCAAGAAGUAGUUAAAUUUAGGUUAUAUUAGAUACGACUUUUGUAAAUUGAUUUAAUUUAUUUUUUACUUUUGAUUUUAAUUUAUUUUGAAGUAUGUUAGUUAGAAUAGCUACCAGAUUAGGCAUGUAACUUAUGAAAGGGUUUGCAAGCAGAAAACAAUUAGAAAUCAGAGGAAGAUUUAGAGGAUAUAAUAUUUAGGAUCUCUAGCAAAAGCCAGCAAGGUAUCUGCUCGAAAAAACCAUUCAACAUGAGAUUGCUCUGCUAGGAAAACAUGAUAUCAGUAUCAAACUUUUGAACAAUUAGUACAGCAUCAAGUCUCAGUCAUCUUGAAAUAUAUCGACAUCAGCAUACAAAAACAUUUAUUCUGCAUUGCCAGGCCCAUUUCCAAAACCACAUAAGCAUAUGCAAUAGAAACAGAGCAUCAAACUGACAGAGAAAACAUAGUGAUGCAGCAAAUACCCAAGUCGUAGAGCCAUUAAUUUGAGCAGAAAGGAGAAUGAAAGUCCACACAUUCUUCUUCUUUCCACCCAUUAUCUCGGGUCCACUCUCUAUUAGUGCUUGAAUCCUCAGCUACUUCAGAUACCUGUAAACCAAUUCAAGCAUGGCAUACAUAUUUUAACUUCUAAAUCUUAUUAUUGAGCGAAACAAGAAACAAACACACAAAAAGAGAAGCAACAAAUCAAGACAACUCAGCAGCACCUCUGAUUGAGCUCUUAUUGAACCAUUUGGUGUAGUAGCAAAUUUUGUGAUCAGCUUUGGGCAUUCAAACACCUUCAACUUCUCUAAAUGAGGGAAUAAGAAAUCAUAACAUCCGAGACUGAAGCAUACAAUACUUGAUAAUUGUUCUAGCAACAGCACCUGCAGAUUCGGGAGCUCCAUCACCUUCUCAACAUUGACAGGUAAAGCAUUCUCUUCCUGUCCAAAUACUCCCAAUAAUUGAGAAGCUUCUCUUACUUUCAGUAUUUGGAGAUUUGGGAGACCUGAAGCCAUGCCUACUGGGAAGAGACAUUUCAACUUGUUGCAUUUUCUGACAUCAAUUUCACAUAAAUUGGGGAAGCAUAAAGAUUGAAGAUGAUCUCCUGGCACUAUCUGAUCCUUUCCAUCAUCAUUAUCCCUAGCAAUGAUUUGCUCUAAUUCCUCACAACUUUCUAUGUUUAGAAAAUUCAGUUGAACUAGACUAGCAAUCAUGCUGUCUGAGAAUACAUGUGUUAGUCUCUUACACUCAUACACCACCAAAGUAGUCAAAUUGCUCAGCACGAGACCCUUCCACAAACACCUCAUGUCAGGCACAAGCAGGGAGCCCAAGCGCAAUGUUUUCAAACUUGUUAACUCCUACAUCAAAAGACAACAAUGGCACUAAUUUGUUAGAUAUAAUUCCUAGUAUGUUUUGGUAAAUAGAUGAAUCAGUUAUCAACAAAAGGAUACAAGUAGACAUGGCAAAAGGGCAUUGGAAUAUGAAAUCAUAAGUUGCAAGACUGAAAUAGACAACUCAAUAUUAGCAAAUGGAGGUUUAUCGUCCUAUCCAAAUACUUUCAUUAAUUGGGGGAAGAGCCUCAAUUUCACUCAAACUGGGAAAGCAUAAAUCAAGGUAGGAUUUCAUUACAAUAAUUAAUUUCUUACUUCUUAAGCCCUGCGUCAAGAGACAGGGAAUGAUACAGUUAGACAACUCCUUUUAAAUUUAGUGGAUGGCUAAAGGAUUUAUCUCCACUUAUAAAUUACUUCAGUUUUAGAAAUUUGGAGGAAGAAACACAGUGUAUUGAAGUUGACAAUUUAAAAUAAAAAGCAAAAAAAUUAUUGGAGAAAUAUAAAGGACGCACUUGAAGCUUUGCCAACAAAUUACCCAAUUCUUCAUGGCCAUCAAUGAUUAGACAUUGCAAAGAAGGCAAUUGGGCAGCAAAAUUCUUAGGGCCAAAAAAGCUGAAAUUUGAUCUGGAAGAAAGAGACAAUUUUCUUAGUCGAGGGAACUUGAUGAUGCCAUCUGUGGUGAGUGCAUCUCCUUCUCCACUGUAAAAUAUUUGCUUUAAAUUAUGAGCAUAAAAAAUCCCCAUCUCUUCCAGGUUCAGAAGACUCGGAGACACAGAGACAGGGAAGACAUAUUCCAGUUUACCACACUCUUCUAUGAAGAUAGUUUUUAAUCUUGGGAAGCGAAGAGACUCUGAAAUUAUUUCCCUUUCAUCAUCCUUUUCUCUGAUAAUAUGCUUCAAUUCACCGCAAUAUCAUAUGUCAAGGGUUGCUAGCUUUGGCAGACUUUGAGCCAGGGAUGGUGUGAAGAUAAAUGUCAGUUUGUCGAGAGAAUUCAAAUUCAGAUGAACAAGAUUUUGGAGGCUGACAUGCCUAGUAGCCCCUUCCAUAUACAUCUGAGCUCAGGUAAGUCGAUCAGCAGUAACGUUGUUAAAGAUGACAGUAGCGACAGCUCCUUCUCCUCAUUGCUUUCUUCAUCCACCUCACCCAAUUCAAAUACCUCUUCCAAUGAUUUACAGCUCUCAAUAUCCACACUACUUAGAUUUUUCAAAGCUUGCAGCAAUUUUGCUGGAAAAGGAGUGCGAACAUCCCCACAAUCGUUCACUUCUACAAAUCUUAAUCUUUGUAAGAAGCCCUUUUGCUGUAUAAAUAUUAUAUUUUUUAAACCCUUCACUCUCAUAAAAACAAUUUAUAUGAUGCAUAAAUAGGAAAAAAAUUUUAUAAAGUACGUACUUGUAGCUGUGCCAACCAAUUACCCAAUUCUUUGCGGCCAUGAAUGGUUAGUUUUUGCAAAGAAGGCAAUUGGACAGCAAAAUUCCGUGGACCUAAAAAGCUGUAAUUUGAUCCGAGCCGAAGAGACAAUUCUUUUAGUUGAGGGAACUUGAUGAUGUCAUCUCUGGUAAGUGCAUCUCCUUCUCCACCGUAAAAUAUUUGCUUUAAAUUGUCAGCAUAAUAAAUCGUCAUCUGUUCCAGGUUCGGAAGACUUGGAGACACAGAGACUGGGAAGACAUAUUCCAGUUUACCACAUCCUGAUACAAGGAGAGUUUUUAAUUUUGGGAAGCCUGGAGACUCUGGAAUUAUCUCCCUUUCACCAUCCUGUUCUCUGAUAAUAUGCUUCAAUUCACCGCAUUUUUCUAUCUCAAGUGUUUCUAGCUGUGGUAGACUUUGAGCGAGGGACGGUGUGAAGAUAAAUGUCAGUUUGUCGAGAGACCAAACCUUCAGAUGAGCAAGACUUUGGAGGCUGACAUGUCUGGUGGCCCCCUUCCAUAUGCAUUUGAGCUCAGGUAACCCUUGCAGCUCUAACAUUGUUAAAGAUGAUAGCAGCGGCAUCUCUUUCUCCUCAUUGCUUUCUUCAUCAACCUCACCCAAUUCAAAUACCUCUUCCAAUGAUUUGCAGCUGUCAAUAAUCACCUUCUUUAGAUGUUUCAAAGCUUGCCGCAAUUUUGCUGGAAACAGAGUGCAAAUAUCCCCACAACGCUGCACUUGUACGAAUUCUAAUCUCUGUAAGAAGCCCUUUUGGAGCUCAUGGCCAUGGUUGGUCAUGUGAUCAGAGUGCAAUUCUAUAUUUUUUAAACCCUCUAAACUCGUAAAAAUAAUUUGGGACACCGUAGGAAACAACAGCUCAAAUGUCAUCACAUUUAAGGAUGUGGCGCUUGUACCAGCCAAAUUUAAUCUUGUCGAGGUUGGGUAUCCUCCUGCAUCAAACCGAUUCCCUAAUACUAUAUCAUAUUUGUGCAAGCUAGGAAAAACAAAAUCUCUGGGAAUGCAUUCCACCUUCGGUAUCCUUAAUGAUAAUACAGCUAACUGAGACAACGAAUUUAGUUCUUUUAGGCUUGCAUUCAUUCCUCCUGUGCUGUCACAUCCAACAACAUCCCAUUCCUCAAAGCUGCCAUCCCCGAUCAACAAUUCUUCUAACUUCUUCAACCUUCCAAUCAAAUUCACAGGAAUCCUACUGAGCCUUUCACAACCUGUCACAUCCAACAACCUUAACUCCUUGAGCUCUCCUAUUUCAUCAGGUAAUUCUUCAAUGGAUAAGCACCACAUAAGACCAAGAAUCUUAAGUCUCUGCAGCUUUCUCAACCAAAUGAGGUCCUUGCAUCCACACAUGAUCAACACCAAAGAUUGAAGUUUCGUUGAUAGUUCAAGUGAUUGCAAUGACAAACGCCCUCCGUUCAGAGACAAAACUUCAAUUUCUCUUAUCCCUUCAAAAAACCUCUGAGGAACAUUCAAACCAUAAUCCACUUCUAAUAAUAGAACUUUGAGCUUUGGACAUACCAAUCCUUCAGGAAGUUCUGCUAGUUUAUUGCCCAUUAACGAAAUUGUUGUACAACCUUCAAAGCUUGUAUUGCUCAUUGGCCACUUCUGCAACCCAAUGCCAGCCUUUACCAUGAAUCCAUAUUCUUCUGAUGAUGCUAUCUGAAUAGCAAAGUCAUGCAUUUUCACAUGUUCUCCAGUUUCAGUGCCCAACAGCAUGCAACAAUCUUUGAGGUUUUCGAUUGCCACAAAAACUCGUUUCCUUGCAUCUUCGAUGGGCUCCGCAUCUUGAUGUAACCCAUAGCCAACUGCAUAUCUCAUCAAGUCCUCGAUUGGAAUAUCAUAGUCUUCUGGAAAUAAACAGCAUAGCACGAAACAUGACUUGGUUUCCUCGAACUUCAAAUAAUCAUAGCUCAACUUAAGACAUGUAUAAGCAUUUUUUUGUUUGUCAAUUUGUUCCAUGCGCGGAAAUUGAGAGUCUUUGAGCUGUUUAGACGCUACUUCCCACUGAACUAGAGAUUUAUCUCUUAGAGCCCUUCCCACUGUCACAAGUGCUAUAGGCAAGCCAUGGCAUUCUCUCGCAACCUCCCUUGCCACUGUGUUCAAGGUAGAGUCCCCAUCACGUAAACCUGCAUUGAUUCUGAAUAAAGCCAAUGCUUCAUCUUCAGAUAAGACUCUUAAAAACACUUUUUGCUGGCACUCCAUAGAAGAACAUAUGUGUUCAAAACGUGUUGUUAGAAGAAUUUUACAACCCCUGUGAUCAUCACCAAAUGGGAUCCCUAUCUCUUUCAAGUCAAUAUCUUCCCAAACAUCAUCUAGGAUUAUAAGCAUCUUCUCCACUUCCUUCAGUCUAUGCCUUAAUCGAUCUGCUCUCCCUUCUCUACUCUUUUCUUUAAUAUCCAGACGUAACUUAUCUGCCAUUCGAUCCUGGAUGUCUGUGACAUUUGGAUUCUGGGACACCGUAGCCAUCAAAACUUCAGGAAAAAGCUGCAACUCUUUGGCUCUCCUGCCUACUUCUUUCACCAGGGUGGUUUUACCCACUCCUCCCAUGCCGUACAGUCCGAUCAUAUUGACACUGUCAUCUUUGAGAGCUUUCAUAAUCUGUUCCAAAGCUUCUUUUGAUGAUUCUGAGGGCGUGAAUUCCUUUGAUGGAAGAAAUUCUAUGGGCUGAAGAUGAGCUUUGUGGGACACCGUUUUAAACUUUUCGCUAAUUUCUUCAAGUUUUCUGAGAGUCUCCGACUUAUUGGCCAGUGCCUUGCUUAACUUGAAUUGUCGCAUGCAGUUUGGACACCAAGUAAAGCAUUUGCCAUUUUUUCCUAUUUCAUUUUCCAAAGGCUUCACACCUUCAAUCUCGUUGUUUGCAUCUUCCAGCCACUUUUUGACAACUUUUUCAAUUUCUUCAGCAUUCGUUUUAGCAUCUUCGACAAUAUUUUGCAGACGUUCUUUUGCCGAAUACAGAUUCUCCUUUCGUUCUUUGAAUUCUUCAACAAAAUUGUUGAAACAGAACAUGUAACGGAACUGCCUUCCUACUGGUUCCACCAUGAGUUCUGCUAUCUUAGAUAUAAUGGAUCCACCCACACUUUCGAUAGCCAUUUUCCACCACUCUGAAAAUCAGAGAAAUAAGGAUACAGAACGCGAGAGUGAGUCACUACAAGUAAAAGAGGCACAGAGAAUGAGAAAAGGAAUUUUAUUACCUUAUUUUGGGAAAAUAUGUGCGAAAAGCACUGGUACUGAUUGCUCAAUGAAAUAGCGGGAGGAAGAAAAGGAGAAGGCCUUUAGCUCUGUAUGGAAUCCAGCUUCAAAAGCAACAAGGCAAGGUAUGAUCUAAGACGAAUGAAAGGUUCAGGAUAAUCACUUAGACGCCUCCAUGGGUGAUACCAGCUCGCUUCCAACAACAAAUGUAAUUAAUCUAAGCUAUGAGCGGUCAAUGUUUUUUUUAGUUUAGUUUUGUUUUUUUUCUUAAAAAACAGAUCAACAAGGGAAAAAACUUGCAAAGAAGUACAAUUACUGGAACGAACUCAACAAAGGAUCAAACUCAAGCAAUUAAAAGUAAUUGUCUCAUCUCUGUGUCACACACUCAAAGAAUUUCAUUACCUUAUUUUGGGAAAAUAUGUGCGAAAAGCACUGGUACUGAUUGCUCAAAGAAAUAGAGAAGGCCUUUAGCUCUGUAUGGAAUCCAGCUUCAAAAGCGACAAGGCAAGGUAUAAGCAUUUUGAUGACAUAAUUAAGAUAACAUGCGUAGUAAUAUAAAGAAAAUGACAAACAAAUAAAAAAAAAUAAUGUGUACAAGCAAGAAACGAAUGAAAGGUUCAGGAUAAUCACUUAGACGCCAUGGAUGAUACCAGCUCGCUUCCAGUAACACAUAUAUUUAACCUAAGCUAUGAUCGGUCAAAAAAAUAUUUAGGUUUCUUUUUUUUAUAUAUAAAAAAAUACAGAUCAACAAGGGGAAAAAAAAAAGAAAAGACUUGCAAAGAAGUAGAAUUACUGGAAUGAACUCAACGAAGGAUCAAACUCAAGCAAUUAAAAGUAAUUGUCUCAUCUCUGUGUCACACACUAAAGGAAGGAGAGAAAAGAAGGGGAUGGGAUCACGGCAAGAAAGAAGGAGAAAGAAAGGAAUGAGACAAAGAAGGAAGAAAGUAAGGUCACGUAGGGGCCAGUCUUGUAGAAAGUUUGAGAAUUAGAAUGAAAAAGAGGAUAAUAAAGUAGUUCACUUGUCAGAAUCAAAACACAUAAACAUAGGACAAAAACAGGGAGAGAGGCUAUUUGUGUUUUUUAACUGUGUUAGAGUGUAUUUUAUAAUUAUAUUUAAUUUAUAGAAAUAUUAAAUUAAAAGUUUUUAAUAUUUUUUGAUAUUUUUUAAAAAUAUAAAAUAUUAUUUUAAUAUAUUUUGAAAUAAAAAACAUUUCACAAUACCAAAUUAUAGUAUAAAUUUAAAGAGAAAUUGAUUUUCUUGUUCAUUAAUGUUUACUCAGACUCAUUUUACUAUGAAUAUUAAUUAUGGGUUUAUUGAAAAUUUUCAAUUUGAUACUUAAGUUUUUUUUCUAUAAUUGAGCCCUUUUGAGCUCAUUUGCAUAUUUUUUUAAGGAUAAGGGUUAAAAUGAAAGAUAGAGAACUAAAAUGAAAAACUAGGCUAAAAUAGGUGGCGGCUCUAUAAUUUGUUUGCAAAGUUCAUUUUAGUCCUCUAUCUUUUUAAACUAUUAAGUAACCAGUUCUUAUAAUUUUUAAACAUUGCAUUUUGGUAUAAAAUUUUAUUUUCCUCCUUUUUUUAGUUUUUUUUUUUUAGAGGAAAGAGAGAGGGUCGCCAGAUUUCAUCUUAGAGAGAAAACGUUGUAGUUGGGGAAGAUUUUGGCCCCUAAAACAUAUGUUGCUUGAUUUUUAAUUGAGUCUAAGUGGUUUUUAUAAUUAUAUUUAAUUUAUAAAAAUGUUAAAUUAAUAUAUUUUUAGUGUUUUUUUGUGAUUUAAAAAAAUAUAAAAUUAUUUUAUUAUGUUUUUAAUAAAAAAUAUUUUUAAAAAGCAUGUGUCCCAAUACCGAAUUAUUAUAAUUAUAAUAUAAACUAAAAGACACAGUCUUUUAGUUUGGCCUUUGACUUAUAGCACCGUGAAUUAGAACAACGUUAUCAUGUCCUAACCAUAGUUAUUAAACCCGAUCCAGAGGUUGACCUGGCCAAGGUGCCGGGUCCUGAGUUUCAUGGGUCAACCCGGAAAAAAAAAUAAAAAUUAAAGUUUUAAUAUUUUAUAUGAAAAAUUAAGAAAAAAUACAUGUAAAUAUAUGCUAUACAUAUUGUAAAUAAUGAAAUUUAAAAGAAUAUUUUAAAAAGUUUUUUUAUCUCACAUUAAAAAGAUAUUAUGUUAGGCUUUUAAGUUGAAAUAUUUAAACCAAAAAAGUUUUUUAUCUCACAUUGAAAAAAAUAUAACUUUUUUCUUGGAAACAUAGAGUAUAUAUAUUAUAAUACUAAUGGGUUUUAAAUCCCACAUUGAAAAAACAUAGUUUUUUUCUUGUGAACAUAACAUAGUUUUUUUCUUGUGAACAUAGAAUAUAUAUACUAAUGGGUUUCAAAUCCCACAUUGAAAAAAGAUAACUUUUUUCUUGGGAAUAUAGAGUAUAUUUACUAUAAUACUAAUGGGUUUUAAAUCCCACAUUAAAAAGAUACUAUGUUAUCCUUUUAAGUUGAAGUAUUUAAACUAAAAGGUUUUUUUAUCCCACAUUGAAAAAACAUAACUUUUUUUUUUGAAACAUAAUAUAUACUAAUGGGUUUAAAAUCUCACAUUUGAAAAAAAAACACCGGGUCUCGCCCCGGUUGACCCGCCAGGUCGAUCAAGUUUGGUCAGGUCAUUGCAUCGGCCGGUCUUUUGACAAACAUGGACCGGUUCAGCCCCCAGGUCAACCCGCCAGUCCGUUCAGGUUUAAUAACUAUAGUCCUAACUGACACGAUCAAAGAGUUGAUGUCUUAUCCCAAGUGCAAGAGUGUCAAAGUAAUAAAUAACCCGUCAAGACCGGGGUCGAACCACAAGGAGGUGAAUUAUAUAAAUUAUAAUAAUAAUAAUAAUAAUAAUAAUAAGAACAACAACAACAAUGAUGAUGAUGAUGAACAACAACAGGACUUUGAGAUGUAAGAUAAAUGUGAAGAUUAAAUAAUGAUAAAAACAAAUGUCAAGGUUAGAGGAUCCACUAAUAGUAUUAGAGAUAAGUAAAGUAUAAACUCUUUAUAAAUUAUCAACACGAUCAUAUCAAUCAUCUUAUUUACGUAACACCAUAUUUGUCGCACGUCAGAAAAUUCGUGCGGCAUCGGCUUGCAAUUUUAUCGUUGUUAUGCGUUGAUUUAGGGUCUUAGGAGUCGCCACCUAGUAAUUUAUAGAAGGCUACUAGGAAACCGGAUGAACUGGUCUUGUCAGAGAUUCACGAGUAAGAGACUGGUUGUGGUUAGAGAAGGUAUUAGCACCCCUAACACACCCUACCUGAGGUAAGCUGCUUCGUGGACUUGAUGUGUUAAAGAAGUUUUAAAAAUUCUGUUCUUUCAUUGAAUUUUAGAAAUACGACUUCCAUGUAAGUUCAUAAUUCUUUAUCCGUGAGCAAAUCAAAAUAUUAAAUUCUUCUUUAAUCUUUGCAAUUUUAUCAUAAAUAAAAAAAAAAACAUCCAUAACAAAAAAUAUAAACACACACAUACACCUUCACUGUAUUUUUUCUCUUUUCUUUUCUUUUCUUUUUGUUUUUACAUCCACAAUACAAAAUACAAUUUCAAAAGAACAAACUAAACCAAAAUUACAAUAAUAACCCCAAAACAAUCUGGAAUUUACAGGGAACACCUUCUGCAUCACCAGAACAGUGUCAGGCAGACUUCUGGAGCUGCAAGAACAGUGGUCGCACGUCUCCUCCACUCGCCACCGUGGCUGGUGGCGCGUGGGUUCACGCGCCGCCGCUGACAAUGCCCGAAAAUGGGCGGAUCUGCCCUGCUUUCUUCUUCCCUUCCCUUCUCUGCUGGCUGUGAGAACCACCGUUACCUGCAAAGGGGGAAAAAUAAACACAAUGCAAAGCUUCCGAUCCUCUCCUUUUUUAGAUCUACUAUCUUCUGUCUUCUCUUUCGGGUUUUCUGUUCUUCCCUUCUUCAGGUGGCAGGUCUGCCGGCUUCUUCUCCCCUUCCCCUCUGCAUCAGCGGUGGCUAGUGAGGAUGGAGACUGGCUGCUGUGGUCGGGUCUGUUCGUUGACCCGGAGAGGGAGGCCGAUGGGUCGGCUGAGAGAGGAGAGGAGGUGUUCCCGGGCGUGGAUGCUGCUGGAUGCUCUUCACUCCUGUUGGUGGCAGCAAUGGUUGGCCUUGCUGCUGUUGUCCGGCUGUCACUGGAGGCUGGUUGAUGGAGACCUGUGAGAUGGCCGGGGAGGGAGGCCGAUGGAAGGGAACAGUUGGGAUGGAGAGGGACGGCACUGCUGCUGUUCAGCCGCUGCUGGGGCCGAAUGGAGGAGAGACCUGGCGAUGGAAAUGAGAGAGUGAGGGGAUCCUGUUCUGUCAAAGAGAGGGGCGAGUGAAAGGGAGAUGAGGGAAAUGCAGAGGAGGCUGCUCUGGCUUGGGAAAAGAAGUUGGAAAUGAGGGCUAUCUGUUGAUGACCGGGCUGUGGGAGAAGGAAGAAAAAUGAGUGCUAGUCUUGGGAGAUGUGGAAACGGUGGGUGUUGUCUGUGAAGGGGAGGCUGGUCUGGGUGUGUGGGGGCUGUGGCUGAGGGGAAGGAACGGUGAUCAAGGGGGAGGGGGCUGGACUAUGGCCGGCUGUCACUGGUUGAAGGAAGGCCUGUGGGAAAGCUGGAGAGGCAGAGAGGGAAGAAGAAACCGAAGGGAAAACUUGGGGAAAGGGGAGCAGCGGCUUGUGUGAAGGAAAAUGGAGUGGGCAGCUGUUGUAAAAAUGAAUGGGGUUUUGUGUUGUUGGCUGGCCAAGGAGAAGAAAAUGGGAGGAACGGCGUGGAGAGGAAAACCAAAAACAUGGGGGGCCUGUGUUGUUGGCUAGAAAAUGGGGGAGGGCUGGCGGCUUGGAGAAGAUGAGAUAGGUUUAGGGUUUCUCUUCCCCUCUUCUGAUGUUGUCAAAAUUCUCCCCUGUUUGAGUUGUGGACCAGUAUUUAUAGAUAAAAUGUUGCAUGGAUCUAAAAAUUGAUCCCUCAACUUUUUUUAUUUUUUUUGUAAAUUUGAUUUUUCUUAAUUUUUUUGUAUUUUUUGAAAACGAGCAAUAUCAACGUCGACUCAAUGAAGAAAAUCAAUGAUUUUAAAAAUAACGCGUUGAAAGUUGAACGCGUUCCAAAUGUCUUUGAAAAUUUAAAUUCUUUUGAGACGAUGCUAAAAAAGAUGCAAAUGUAUUAAAAAUGUAUUUUUUGGAUUUUCAAUGUUUUUCGCUAUUUUUGGAUUUUUUCUGAAAAUUUAUCAAAACAUGGGUCAAAAAUUGGGUAGCAACAGAUGCCCCCUCUUUACAAUGCUUACGAAGCAAAACUCCUCAAUGUUUUGCAUAGUAAGCUUUGUAAAGAAAAACUUGUCUUUCUGUCACUCAAUAUCCACUCAUCUAAAGGCCUUGCUCUUUUUUUUUGUUCUCUCUUCCUUCUCUUUUCUUCCUCUUCUUUCUUCCUUUCUUUCUUUCUCUUUUUUUUUUUAUCUUGAGAUCCCAUCUGGCGAUCUCCUUUUCCAAAACCAAAGAAUAUGUGUAGCUCGGUCAACCUGAAAUCCCAUCUGGCGAUUUCCUUUAACCAAAGCUACAUGAGAUCCCAUCUGGCAACCUCAUUAAACCAAAACUAAAAAAAUGUGUGUGUAGUCUUAUUAUGACGGGUGACCUACCCAAAAUGAAAGAUGGUCUCAUUAUGACGGGUGACCUACCCAAAUACAAGAUGGUCUCAUUGUGAUGGGUGACCUACCCAAGUGGAAAAGGGAAAGAGUGGUCUCAUUUUUAUGGGUGACCUACCCAGGGGGAAGAAUGGCCUCAUUAUAAUGGGUGACCUACCCAAGUAAAAAAAUAAUGGAGAAUGAUCUCAUUCUAAUGGGUGACCUACCCAGAAAAAAUGGUAUCAUUGUGAUGGGUGACCUACCCAAGUGGAAAAGGGGAAGAGUGGUCUCAUUCUUAUGGGUGACCUACCCAGGGGGAAGAAUGACCUCAUUAUAAUGGGUGACCUACCUAAGUAAAAAAAUGGAGAAUGGUCUCAUUAUGACGGGUGACCUACCCAAAUACAAGAUGGUCUCAUUGUGAUGGGUGACCUACCCAAGUAGAAAAGGGGAAGAGUGGUCUCAUUCUUAUGGGUGACCUACCCAGGGGAAGAAUGGCCUCAUUAUAAUGGGUGACCUACCCAGAAAAAAAAAUGGAGAAUGGUCUCAUUCUAAUGGGUGACCUACCCAGAUGGAAGAUAGAAAAAAUAUGAAGUGGUCUCAUUGUAAUGGGUGACCUACCCAUAUGGAAGAUGAGAAAAAUGUGAAGUGGUCUCAUUAUUAUGGGUGACCUACCCAGGUGGAAGAUAGAAAAAAUGUGAAGUGGUCGCGUUAUAAUGGGUGACCUACCCAGGUGGAAGAUAGAAAAAAUGUGAAGUGGUCGCGUUAUAAUGGGUGACCUACCCAGGUGGAAGAUAGAAAAAAUGUGAAGUGGUCGCGUUAUAAUGGGUGACCUACCCAGGUGGAAUAUAGAAAAAAUGUGAAGUGGUCGCGUUAUAAUGGGUGACCUACCCAAGUGGAAAGAAUGUGAAGUGUGGUCUCAUUAUAAUGGAUGACCUACCCAGAUGGAAGAUAGAAAAAAUAUGAAGUGGUCGCGUUAUAAUGGGUGACCUACCCAAGUGGAAAGAAUGUGAAGUGUGGUCUCAUUAUAAUGGGUGACCUACCCAGAUGGAAGAUAGAAAAAAUAUGAAGUGGUCGCGUUAUAAUGGGUGACCUAUCCAAAGAAAAAGGAAAGAAUGUGAAAAACGGUCUCAUUAUGAUGGGUGACCUACCUAAAUGGAAAAAUGUGACUUACCUAGCAAAAAGACUUGGCAGGCGAAGUCCUGAUAGGAUAAGGCUGACAAACGGCGCUUCCUAAUUGCAAGGUUUACUUGAAGACUCCUCUUGAUGACGGGGUUAAUCUCCUCGUUUCUUUGAGAUUCUCCUACUGGCAGGGUUCAUCUCAUUCUCUUCUCGUUCCAGGAUCUAAACCGAUUCUUUGUCAUCAUCAACUCAAUGAUUCUUUCUUUGUCCACAACCUUGUUGAACUUCAUUGAGGAUCUUUCUGUAACAAAUCACAAGUAUGUGCAAUGCUUUGAGGUUAGAUGACAUGCAUGCAUCCUUACCUGAUGUGAAAUAUAGGUCCCCCCCUUUGAUGAUCCAUCGUCAUAGGGUGCCUUUGUUUGCUAACCAAAGCCUUCUUUGCUCUUCCCAUGUACUGACUCAUUCGUGUGCUAGCCAUCCACUCAAAUGUAAGUGCAGUGCCCAUCUCGGGCUGUCUACGACGAUUACUACUCUCAGUUGUUCUCAAUGUUGACCAUGCUUCCAAGCGUGGUGUUGCUCGAUUCAUCAUGAAGGAGUUGAACAAAUCAUCCAUCUCCUAGAUUCUCUCAAGAAUUGUCCUUUGAUUGGUUGUGCGUGUUUUGCCACUGCCGGUCAAGAGGUUUUCUAGUGUUUAACCUCAUUUUAGAUGGACUUGCCCCCAGUUGAAAUAACACUCUUCAAGUAUAUAUUAUCACCCGCCUUCUUGGAACUGCUAAGUCAUCCAGACAUGCCUCUCAUACUUUGCAGUAAAAGGCUAAUCAUUGUAAGCUCAAAGUUCUUCUCCAUAGAUUCCUCUCAGCUUGUCAAAUCAGAUCAGGAAAGGAAAUGCGUUGGCAUCAUCAAUGAUGUUCAUCACCCAUAUUCAUGCGGUGAAGUGUACAUUUGAGCUUCAAAGCAGAUGGUCCCACAGUCAGUCUUGGUGGGUGCAUCUUUCCAACAUUCAUUCAAAUGCAACUAUGCGAUAACAUCAUUCAAAAGUCAUAGCCAUGUUGGAGAUGAUAAACCAUGAUGAAGAUAUGAAAAUAUCCUUCAAAUGCAGCGUUGUUCAUCAAUUGCUGUUGAAGUUCACUAGAUCACAAACUGUCUUUGAACAAUAUUGCCCCCAGCAAUGAUUUGAAUGCUUGUUCAUCUGUCUAUAAUCAAGAAGUUUUUUUUUCUUUGUCAUUGCCAGAUGCUAAACAUAACUUCGAUGGACUUUGACGACUCAUCAUCUGAUUUUUUUUUUGCUUUGCCCUCAGCUGAUCUGAAUACUGCUUGUUUUCCUACCUAGGAUCCACUGUAUUGCCCCUAGGUGGUCAACUUUUCAAGGAGUGUCGAGAAAUGUUGAUGUCAUUCUUGUCAAGGAUUUUGCAAAUUCAAUCGAUGUUCUUCUUGUUUGACAAUCUUCCUUGUUCUGGAAUCAAAUCUCAUAUUUCAACGCUCAUGUCUAUUCAAAUCUAAUUGUUGAAAUGAAAUCAGAGAGAUGUCAAUUUUGAAAAGUAUUUUCUGGAAAUCAAGCUUGUUUGGUCAAAGAUCCAACACACGCUAUUCAAUGAAGUCCUUUAAUUGUCUUGUAUUUUGAAGACAGAAAUAACUCGUUGUAAGAUUAAAAUGACUUUUUUCGUGGUUCUUUGUGUCAAUUUUAAUCUUUGAUCUUAGGUAUAUCUUUUGAUGGCCUGCGAUGAGGUGACCUUCUGUGGAUUUCAAGAAACAAAAGGCUCAAGUCAAAACUUGAGGAUUCAUCAAGAAAGAUUGUUUUCUUUUUUAGCACCAAUUUUAUUAGCAUGCAUAAUAACAAGUAGCUUAAUCCAUGAAGUCACGACCCUUAUGGAAAAGCUCUUCAAGUUUUGAGAUCGUCAUUUAUCGGUUCAGAUUGCUUACUUGAUUAAAAAAAGGCUUUUUACAGCACGUAAUGCAUGCUAUGGUUCAUGGCUUAUGAAAGAAAGGAAAUUCACAGGCUCAAAAGGUGUUUGAGGGUUUUAAAGACCUAGGAUCAACAUCAAUUAUUCAUCAACUCCUUUUCUAUUGUUGUCUUUGUAGAGACGACAUAGAACCUUGUUAACCUCAAAGAUCAGACUUCUCUUAACAUAAGUCAUAAUGCAAAUCCACCUUUCCUUGAUGAAUAACCAACCUCAAUCAUCUGAUAACAUCAGAGGUUUUAUAAUGGAUAUCAAAAGUCACGUUUAUAGCUUAGUCUUUCUUCUGCUAUUGACUUUUGUUGUCUUUCCUUGAUGUCUUUCUUCUGCUAUUGACUUUUGUUGUCUUUCCUUGAUUGAAAUUUCUUUUGCCAAGACUUGAUAGACAUUCUCUUUCCUUUAUCUUUGACUUGCCUUUAAGUGAAGGCAAUUUCAACUUCUUUUUUUUUUUUUCAUAGCCUUCCUCAAAAUUUUCUUAUAUGCCCCCAGCCUAUGUGUUUUCUUUUAGCCCUCUCUCAAUCAUUGGACUUUUGUUCUAAGCCUUCCUUUUAUCCAUUAAUGUCUUCAAAAUAUCUCUCAUUGCCCCCAGUGUGGGGUGUGGUCCUAGUCAGGGUUUCUUUUUGAAAGAAAAUAUUUUACAAGGCUAAAAAAUGGGACUGCAAGGGAUAUAAUCUUUAGAAAGUGAAGGGAUAUCAAAGAUGACAUUUUCUCAUUUCAAGCAAGGUCGGUUAGAACCGAUAAAUUUUGACCUCAUCCAGUGUAAUGAUUGGGACUUGUAAGAAUAAUGAUUCACGAGUCCAUAACUAUCGAAUCCACUACAUGUCAUUAUGCAUACUGCUAAAACUUAGCUAUAUGAUGUUUUUUUCAGUUUCAGGAGGUAUGAGUUCAAAAUUGUUUGGUCACCUCAUGUCAUUUUCAAGAAUCAAGUCGUUUCUGCAAUCAAAAUAUUUUUAAUCUUCAGGAUUAAUUAAUCUUAAUCGUAUGUUCGAGCUUGAUCAAAAAUAUUUGUGUCAAAAUAGCCUUUGAAAGAAGCAUCGCUUGAUUUCAAAACAACAAGAAGACAAAGAGAAGACAUGUUUCGUUGAAGGGUGAGAUGUGAUCCCAAAACAAAAUGCAGAAUGCUAAAAUCCCAUAACAAAAAUGAUUGACAAUUUGACCCCUUCUUGGAUCACCUACUCUGGCGAUAUCUGUGUUUCACCGAGUCAAUUUCGAUCACUUGUCAUUCUGAGGAUGUUCUGGUGACAACAUGAUUGAUGACAUCAUCUUUCACAAACUCAGCUCGAUUCUUGAAACUCUUGUGUCUGUUCAACUGAAAUGGUUCACGAACCCUCCAUGAUAUUCACAUCUGGUUUGAAUUAUACCACGGUGGUUGCAUGCAAUUUGUCGAAGUCCGGGGCACUAAGUCUGGAAUCUGGCAGAUGCUAGUCGACAAACUUAAGUGGCAGAGGGAUGUCAAUCUUGGCAAAGACAUUUGAGCCAUUGAUGCUACAAUGAGACCUGGCUAAACCACAUAACUAUGGUUUUCCAUCUUCAGAGUCAUCUCCUUAUUCAACUCCCUUCACAGUUCUGAAAUCCACGGUAGAGCCUUCAAUCUUUCCCAUCUUGAUAGUUAGCUCUAUUCUUUUGGCAAUCCUCACAACAUCAUGUCAAUCUUCCAAUGUUGUUGCGGUUGUAUGAGAAUUGUUGGAACCCUCCACUAGCUAGGUAAUCUUGGCAGCAUACAGAAACAUGCAGUACCACCACUGCCGACGUGUGGAAUCACGCGUUGUCUCAACUGGAAGAGAACUUGAUGAAUCUAAAACUCCUUUGUCUCCUCUUUGAUUCCUCACUGACGGCGCAUCAAACAGACACCUGUAGAGGGAGUUCUGCUCCAUUGAAGUUUCAGUCUUAUUCCCGUUUUUCAGCCCACGUUUGUCUCUUCUCCCUACUUUUGUGUUUUAAUUCCAACACUGGUAGGAGAAAAUUGUAGACGAUCUGAAACUACUGCAUCCCUUCUUGGAUUCCUCACUUACAGAUCCACAAACAAAUCUCUAUAGAGAGAGCUCUGCCACAUAGAAGUUUGAUGUCUGCUUAUGUUUUUCAGACCAGGUAUGGCUUUUCAACCCACUACAGUGUCUUCGUACUGAAACUGGUGGCGUAAAUUUUCAUAUCUUCUGAAACUACUACAUCCCCUGUUCUGCUAGGAAAACAUGAUAUCAGUAUCUAACUUUUGAACAAAGAGUUCAGCAUCAAGUCUCAGUCAUCUUGAGAUUUGAAUGCCCAUAUAUAUUCACAUGCUCAUACAAUAACAUUUUUAAAAAUGCAUUAUGCAUUAGAAACAGAACAUCAAACAAAGAGUUCAGCAUCAAGUAGAACGCAUGAAAGUCCACACAUUAAACCAAAAGAAACACAAAUGGGCAAGCAAACAUACGCCCUUACUUCUGGAGGCU
rnacentral:lncRNA from 1 species